UCAAAUAAGGGUCACUACUCUGAGCAUCAACAAUCUUCUGCCUCAGAGUCGGUUGCACCGUUAAUUGAGCUAACUGUGAGGUGACUCUCCCCAAGAUACUGCAAUCUCAGCUCUCUCCAAGUCUCGAUGCAAUGGUACCUGUCUAGUAAUGAGUGCUGCCGAAUGUGAUACUUUUCUACUAAGAGCAUCAGCCACCACGUUUGCCUUACCAGGAUGGUACAAUAUCUCGCAGUCAUAAUCCUUUAUCAACUCGAGCCACCUUCGCUGUCUCAUAUUCAACUCUUUCUGAGUAAAGAAGUACUUCAGGCUCUUAUGGUCAGUAAAGAUUUGUAUCUUUUCACCGUACAAAUAAUGUCUCCAUAUCUUCAAUGCAAAAACCACUUCUGCUGCAACUCCAAAUCAUGUGUGGGUAGUUCUGCUCGUGACUCUUCAACUGACGAGAGGCAUAAGCAACCACCUUACCUUUCUGCAUCAAAACACAACCCAGUCCUUUCUUGGAAGCAUCACUGUAAAUCACAAAACUUCCGGAUCCAUCUGGUACUGUAAGGACCGGUGCAGUAACUAACCUUUGCUUAAGGUUCUGAAAACUAUCCUCGCAAGCUGGACUCCAAACAAACGAGUUCCCUUCCUUGUCAACUAAGUCAAGGGAGUAGCCAAACGUGAAAAAUCCUCCACAAACCUCCGGUAGUACCCUGCUAAACCCAGAAAACUACGAACCUCACUAACUGUAGAGGGUCGAGACCAACUGGUAACCGCUUCUAUCUUUGCAGGGUCUACUGAAACUCCCUCACUGGAAACCACAUGACCAAGAAAAGCCACCUGCUUCAACCAAAAUUCGCACUUAGAGAAUUUAGCAUACAGUUUAUUGACUCAAAGAGUCUCUAACACCUUAUGUAAGUGUUCCUCAUGUUCGGCCUCAGUCUUGGAAUAAACCAAAAUAUCAUCAAUGAAGACUAUCACAAAAGUGUCUAAGAAAUCCUUAAACACCCUGUUCAUCAAAUCCAUAAAUACAGCAGGUGCAUUAGUCAAACCAAAAGACAUUACUAUGAAUUCAUAAUGUCCAUACCUCGAACGAAAAGCAGUCUUAGGAACAUCACGGUCUCUAAUCCUCAACUGGUGAUAACUUGACCGUAAGUCAAUCUUAGAGAACACCGUGGCUCCCUGUAACUGAUCGAACAAAUCAUCGAUUCUGGGUAAAGGAUAUCUGUUCUUGACUGUUACUUUAUUCAACUCUCUAUAGUCAAUGCAAAGACGCAUCGACCCAUCCUUCUUCUUCACAAACAAUACUGGUGCACCCCAAGGUGACACACUAGGUCGAAUAAAGCCUUUGUCAAGCAAUUCCUGUAACUGUACCUUCAGUUCUUUCAACUCAGCAGGAGUCAUCCUAUAAGGGGCUCUAGAAAUAGGAGUAGUGUCUGGCUCCAACGCAAUGGCAAAAUCAACCUCUCUAUGUGGCGGUAGUCCUGGAAGAUCUUUUGGAAAUACAUCUGGGUAUUCUCUUACCACAGGUUCUGAAGUUAAAGAAGUCUCAUCUUCCUUAGUAUCCACCACACUUGCCAAAAUACUCCAAGUACCCUGGUUGAGUAGUUUACUAGCUUUCAUAGCUGAGAUUACUUUAGGCAGUACUACUGUUCCUACCCCCUUGAAUUUAAAGCUAGAUGCAGUAGGGGGACUGAACACAACUUCCUUACGAGAACAAUCAAUACUAGCAUGAUUAGUAGCUAGCCAAUCCAUACCUAAAAUUACAUCAAAGUCACGCAUAUCUAAUACCAACAAGGUUACGUCCAGCACACGACCAGCUAUCUCAAUUUCACACGCUUUAAUCUUUUCCUUAGACAACAUAAUUUCUCCAGACGGUGUAGACACUGACAAAACAUAAUCUAAGGGUUCCACCUCUAAGCAUGCAUGCGUCACAAAAAGCGAUGAAAUAAAUGAGAAGAUCCCGAGUCAAACAAGGUCAAGGCAAAAUGCCCUAACACUGGUAAUGUACCUGUCACCACUGUGCCGGCCUUCUCUGCCUCUGAUCUAUUAGUGGCAAAGAUUGUACCCCGCUGUGGAGGUCUCUCUCCCUGACUGCUCUGUCCAGCCCCAGUAGAUCUCAAGGGACACCUAUCAGCCAUGUGUCCCUCUUGCUUGCACUUAUAACAGACUCUCGUUCCCAUCAAACAACGACCCAGGUGACGUUUCCCACACGUAUUGCAUAAUGGCUUCUCUCGAGUAGUGUCUCCUGCCCCGCCAGAACUCUGCUGGAAACUGCGAAAAGGAUCGCCUGGUCUCAAGUUCCUCUGAGGAACUCCCACAGUUCUCUGCUCUGCUUUUCUCUUUUGACCAGACGACGAUCCCUUAUCAAAGCUCCUUGGCCGUAUUUCAUCCUUCCCAAUGCUCAUAUCCACUGCCAGACGCAGCGCUUCAGCCUGGGUAGUGGGCUUUAGUGCUCGCACAAAGUCCCUAAUCUCAUCUCUCAAUCCCUUGACGAACCUAUCAGCUCUAGCCUGCUCGUUACCAACAAGUUCAGGGGCAAAACGUGACAGCAUAUCAAACUCCUGGUCGUACUCCUCGACUGUCAUAUGUCCUUGCUUCAACUCCAAGAAUUCCUGGCUUUUGGCGUCUCUAAAGCCGAGAAAAACUUGGUAUAGAAGCAGUUUUUAAACUGAUCCCAGGUAAUCUGCCUCACAUCUCCACCUAGCAUGCGCAUUGUAGUCCUCCACCAGAUAAUGCCUCUGUCCCUCAGUAGAAAAGCAGCACACUGAACUCUGUGCUCCUCGGGACAUCUCAUGUAAUUGAAUAUGGUUUCCACAGAGGACAACCACAACUCAGCUUUAGUAGGAUCCUCCAGUGACCCAUCAAACGUCUGAGGGUCAUAUUUCCUAAAGUCCCUCAAAUGUUUCGCCUCAGCAGAAAGUUGGUUCGGUAAUAUCUGCGGCUGUUGUGCAGCCAAUCCUUGUGCAGGAGGGGCUGCUGGUGCAGGUGGAGCUGCUGGUACAGGGGGAACCACAGGUGCAGGUGGAACUGCAGGUGCCUGCUGGUUUCGAGCUAUAGCCGUCAUAAGUUCCGUAAACCUCUGCUCCAUGUGAGCAGACAGUGCAUCAAACUCGACGUGAGUCACGGGUGCAGCAGGAAUUCGCUGUUCAGCUUGACCCUCAGUAGGCUGAUUACGACCUGCUCCUCUACCUCGGCCUCCUGCUCCUCUACCUCGGCCUCUACGACCUCCUCUACGUACACCUCCCCUUGGCGGCAUAAUUCCUAUUAUCCACCAACAACACUCUUUAAAAAAAGUCUUAAUCAUAAGCAUAAGCAAGUCUUUAUCGUCAUGCAAUCUAGUUUAAUUUAGGCAAAGUCAUGCAAAUAAACCAUACAUAUAAGCAUCAAGCAUACCUGACGAGAGACGAAGGGUCGCGUUAGCCAUAGGAACACAAAAACAUAGACUUACAUCGUAAGUCAGUCUACAGAACCUAAAACUUAGGCUCUGAUACCAACUGUAACGACCCAACUUUUCUAGGUAAGUCGAGGUCAUUAAUUUUUAACAAAAGACUUUGGUUGAUACAAAAUGAAACGUAAGUCAAUUGAAAAACAAAUUUAUGUCAGGCCUGAUUUUUCAAAUAUUCAAGAAAACUUAAAAAUAAUACUAUUUACAAAUAAAAGUUUGUAAAAUAAGUUUUAAUACAUCUUAAACCUCAAAAGAAACCAUAAGCGGAAGCAAAAUGACACGUUUCCUAUGGCAAUCACGCUUCCUUCCUGCCCCUCGCCGGUUUGCCACCUUUAUUACCUUUGUUAAAAAUUAAUGACCUCGACUUACCUAGAAAAGUUGGGUCGUUACAAAAGAUUUCCCUAACACGUAUUGUAAAAAAAUAUGUAGUUGGCUAGUAGUGAAAAGUUAGCAAGGCUAUUCAUGUUUCUCUUGGUGUUCCCUCUUACUCAUCUUGAAGCUUAUUGUGGGCAUUUUGUCAACUUACUUUGGGUUUCUUUUGUCUUCUGUUUUAAUUAAUUACUUCGUACUUAUUUUACAUUUUAGUUUUCAUUAGUGCGUCCUGGAUAGAGGAUUUUGUUUAGCUCGUUGUUAUUGUUGAUAAAAUUAAAAUGCCAACGAUUACAAUUCUUGAGAACGGACUCAUCUGUUUCCAAUUCAGAUGCCCAAAACUUGUUGAAUGGAUCCUAUCACGUUGAUCGCGACAUCUUGCUGGCAAAAGUAUGCUCCUCUGUAAAUGGACUCCAGGUAUUGUCCCUAAAUCCUUUGUUUUUUAUUAUGUUCCUAUAUGGAUUAAACUAGGUAGGAUUCCAAUGGAGUUAUGGACAGAUGUCAGUUUGACUGUUGUGGCUAGUGCUAUAGGCAAACCUCUAUCUUUAGAUCUAGCUACUAAGGAAAGACGAAGGUUGUCACAUGCUUGAGUAUGUGUUGAAUCAAAUGUGGACUCUCCUAUGCCUGCUGAAUUUACAAUUCACCUUAGGGGAGAGGAUUUCGUUAUGGCUGUGAAUUAUGAGUGGAAGCCUCGAAGGUGUAAUUUGUGCCGGUCUUUUGGGCAUUCUAGUGGUAAGUGUCCUAAGAUUGUGGAAAACAAAGUUCAUCGAGAGGAGGAUGUGAGUAAGGUGGUUUCAAACAAAGAGGAGGAACGGACAAUUGUGUCUUGUGGAUGUGGUGUUAGACUUUAAAUAGUUGGAGGAAAGUAAGACUAAUAGCUCCCCAUUAGGCAUAUUAAGGAAAAGGAGGUAGGUAAUCGAGAUGAAAUUACUCGUUAUUAGGAAGAAAAGAGAGUUGGUUUAUGUUCGAGAGAAGGGUAAACGUGUGGAUGUGAUUAUGCCUAACUCUUUUGGCAGCCUUAUGAAGUUGGGUGAGGGAGACAAGUGGACCUUAUCUAUAGUGGAUGACUCCCCUCCCCCCUUACAAGUGGAUGAUACCGCUAUUGUUCUUAGGCGUAUGUUAUUAAUCACCUUAUGAUAAUUUCAAAAUAUAAAUAUAUUUUUAGUAUAAGUCCUCACGUUUGACUCUAGACUCACCAAGAAACCUUAUUUGGAUAUUACGAAUAUGACAAAAUUAGUGAUAUUAGAUGACUAUCAAACGAUAAUCAUAGGGUUAUCAACUUUUAAAUUUACUACUUUUAAAAUUUAGAAAAUGUAGUGACAUGAGUCAUGUGAUUAUAAAUGUUUUUGUUAUUUUUGCAGGGUUCCAGAGAAAAAAGAAAAAAGUAAGAUGUGAUUGAUAAUAUGUGAAAAAAGGAAAAAAAUUAAAGAAAUAUAACUCGAUAUAUCUAAUUUGUUUAAAAACGACCCCAUUUGUAAUUUUUCUUUUCAAAAGUCACACAACAUCUUUUUGGAAAGUUUUUUUAGAGAAGCAUGCCAAUACCUUCAUCCUACGUAUGUAGAUGUAUUUAUGAAUAAUUUUUAAAAGUUCAAAACAAUUUUUUUUAACAUUUCAAAGUUUAAGGUUAUUUUUUUACACAAACUACAAAAUUCAAAAGAAUUUUUUUUGUAAUUUAACUAAAUACUGUUGUAUGUAUAUAUAUAUAUAUAUAUAUAUAUAUAUAUAUUAGUUAUCUUUUUUAGUCCUAUAUUGUAAAAAAAUAUGAUUAUCGAUUUAUCGAAAUCUAAUUUGUAAAUGGCUUAAAACAUUUAGUUUGUUGAAAAAAAAUGACAAAACAAUGGACCAAUGGACAGCUAAUACGAGUCGGUGAACCGAAUACACAAAAUUCUCUAAAUCCAAUUAAGCAAGAUUUAAAAAAAAAAAUUCUAAUAAAAACCCUACAUGUACAGUCUCUCUCAUUUAAAAUUUCUUUCUCCUCUUCUCUAACGGCCAAGUCUCCCUCUCCUCCCUCUCCUCCCUCUCCUCCUCUAUCAUACCCAUUUCGCGGAUCCAUCUCCAUCUUCUUCUUUAAGUCGCGGAUCCAAUCUCCAUCUUCUUCUCUUAGUGCGUCCUUUCCAUUUCUUCGUACACUCCAUUUUUCCUUUCUCUUUUCAAAACCCUAAGGCCUAUCUCUCAAUUUUCGUUUCUUUAAGGAAGAAACCCUAUCAUACCCAUUUCACCGAUCCAUCUCCAUCUUCUUCUCUUAUCGCGUCCUUUCCAUUUAUUCUUCUUCUUCUUUGUUCGUACACUCCAUUUUCCCUUUCUCUUCUCAAACCCUAAUUCUCUUUAAUUAAUUAAUUCUCUCUCCUUUCUCUCUCACUUCCUUCCUCUUCCAUUAAUGGCAGGUUCUCCUCAUCUUCCUCCUUUCUCCAGUGUUGAUUCCUCCUCUACUUCGACCUGUGAUGCUCUUUUCUUCUUCCCUCGCAAUUUCGAUUCCACCAUCGUCACCGAUUUUGGUUGCAAUUUCUACACUCUUCAACCUCAACCUUCUGGAUUCCCUCACUCUCACCGGAUUGACUUCAAUGUCCUUGGAACCUCCACUACUACUACUAGUACUCCACUCAUCAAAGAAUCCGCUGGAUUAUAUAUCAGACGCUCCUCUUCCUUUCCUUUCUAAUACUUGUCUCUCUUCUAACUCCAGUGGUGAGCCCCCGAACAAAUCGCAUUACUCCGUGAGUUCCCAAUUAAUUCCAUCUUUAUUUAAUAUUCAAUUGUCCUCUUUCCAUUUGUUUCAAUUAUUGAAUAGAAAGUUAAUUGAAUGAACUAUGUUCCAAUAAUUUCAUGUGGUUCUGGUAAAGCACAGUGCAUCCGGUCGAACUUCCCCCAUUAUGUAAUUUUAUGGAGGUAGUUUUGUAAAUUGGAUUGAAUCAGAGGCUAUUCAAUGUGUAUGCAUCAAAAUAUAGGGAUUGUUUUUCAAUUAAAUAUAAAUUGAUUGAGCCUCUGAUGUGCUAGUAAGCAUCAGAUCUCCUCUGUGUAUAUAUAGUUAGGUACUCUUCUUUUUUUAUUGGUUCCGUCAUAUAUAUCACGGUCUGAAGUUGUAGCUAAACUUGCUUUCAUCUUCAGUUUCUAUCACUAUUUAAAGGUCAGAUUUUGUUCGAUUAGAAGAAUGUAAAUUUGUCAAGGACAAUAGCAUGCUUAGUGUAAUUGUACUCAAAUAUUAUUACUAAAACAAUUGCUUUAUUUGUGUUGAUACCAUUAUUUGUGUGGUAGAUCUCUUGAUUCAUUUUGAUGUUUGUUUUGAAGACAUACAAAGGUCAUAAUACUAGUUGCUAUUCUUUUUAUCUUGGUACGUUUCAUUUUUGUUUUAAUGUUUCACUGUCUCUAUAAUUGACUGUACAAACAUAUAUCAUCAUUCAAUCACUUUUCAAGUUUUAGAUUCUGAAAUUUGUACAUAUUGGGGUUUUCCUUUUUCUUUAUUUUGGAUUAUUUCAAAUCUCCAAAGAUCUUUCUUGUAACAUUUGCAUAUUUUAGUUUGUUAAAAUCUUCGAAAGUAGAGGAGAAGGCUCCAAAUGCAUUCUGUCUCUCAUUGCCUUGCCCUAACAUUAUCAUCUGUGUAAGAUGUGCCAAUGAGUAGACCAUUUUCUUUUACUUUUUUUUCCAUAGCUUUUGAACCACUUUCCCUUUCUCUCCUUCUCUUUCAUUCUUCUUUUAUGUUAAUUGGAAGAAGCUUUGAGGCCUCUCUUGAAAAUAAUGAGGUUUUGAAGGGGAUAGAAAGAGAGUGAUGGUGGGAUCCAUCAAAGGUUUGGGAUUUCACACAAUGUUCGCAUCACUCUUUUAAAUGUAAUUAGAGGUUGAGGAGUUGAUCGUCGAUCAUAGAUAAGGAGGGGCUGGUUAGUGGCUUGGAAAAGAAUUCAGACAACAUUAAUUUUUUCUAAAAAAUAAAACCAACCUUCCGACGGUUGGUUAACACUCCUCGACAGUCGAGAUAGGGUAAGACUUGUAUUCUGGUUCUGUUGAUACCUAUAUUUGUGCUUCAUCACUUUAUAAUUGUACUUUUAUUUAUCCCCUUUGUAUAUUUCCAUGUGUUUCAUGUUUGUCUUUUAUGUUUCUUCUAUUUAUAUAUUUCUUCAUGUUCUUCUCCAUUCGGGUUUGCUCUUGCGGAGGUUACACAUUCAUUGUUGUGCUGGUACUUUAGUUAAUGAUGUCUAGUAAUUUUUGUUUUGCAAAUUUUCUUGUUAGUGCUCAAGUUUGAUUUCAUACUGCCUUUAGCAUAGCUUUACGACUGCAGAAUUCAAUUGCACAUUGCCCUUUUUUAUUUUGUUAUUACUGAUGGACUUAUUUGUGAUACCUUUAAAGAAGAAAAUUUAUGCUAUUUGUGUUGAAGUUUAUUUGUUGAUUAUUGGUUGGUUUUUUCCCUCCACUUUUCUUAAUAUUUUGAAGUGUGUAAUAAGGUAAGCAAUUUUUUAGUCCCCUAAAUUUGUUUUGUUGAUGAAUUGUUUCCUUUUUUUUCUCGGUUUUGUUUUCAGGUUUUCAUCAUUAUUCAUUUGGUGGCUAAAUAUUAGUCAUGGGUAUUUGUUCGAUCUUAUUUUGUUGUGAUCAAUUGAUAUACAUAAUAUGCACUAUAAAUUUGUUAAAUUGUUGGAUUAUUUGCUUUUUUAAUAAGGUUGGAGGAACCUCAAGGUACGUUUUGUUAAAGCAUAUUUUAUAUUGAUAAAUUUGAAGUUGUCAAGUCUAUAACAAUGAUAAUGUUAAUACGAGUAAAUUUAUAGCAAAUUUAGUUGACUUAACUUAUUUACAUGCUGGUUGCUCGGACUCUUGGAAAAACCUUACGUGCAUUUUAACCCACGAUAAGAGGACUUAAGGUUGUUAUGACUUACAUAUCAGUUUUUGAGAUUUUCCUUUGUAACUUUUUCAUAGACCUUAUUGUAGUUUUUUGUUCUUCAUUUUUGUUUGUAGGACGUUUCUAGAGAAUGCAAGACCAUGUUUGAGUGAGAAAUUGGUCUCGAUGAAAUUGAGAGUUCAAUGAACAGCACAUACAAUGCAAGUAAAUCUACCUACUCAAACCCAUCUUCUAUUUCUAAAGCAGAAGGGCUUUCGGUGGCUGAAACAAGUGAGUGAUUAAGUUUUUUAUCACCCGUAUUAUUUGUUAUCACUAGGGAAAGAAAGCUGAGUAGAAAAAGUAGAAUGCCAAAUGGAAAAAAAAAGAUUAGUAAGCAGCGUUAUUAUUUUAAAAUAGAAAACAAAAAUUAACAUUAUUGUUAAACCGAGCCAUUCUCGAGAACAUGAAAUAGAAUUUGAUAGCUGCCUGCAUCGUGUUUAUGAAUGUUAAGAAUGAAACUAUCGGUAGGGUUAUAGAAUAAUCAUUCUAUCAGCCUCAAUUAUGUUACAGGGUUUAUGAAAUAGAAUUUUCUUAUGUAUUGUAAUAGUAGAAGAUUCUUCGUCAGGAAGAAAAGCUUAUAGCUUUGAAGAGUAUCUAAAGGUUACAGAAGAGCAACCGAAAGCUUACGAUGAGCUCCAAACCAAUUUUCCAGCACAAAGCCAGAGUGGAUCCCAAGUACAACGGGAAGGUUGUUAAAAUCAAAUCUCUUAUGUCUUAUUUCAUAACUAUUUAGUUUUGAUCUUAACUACAACAAUUUUCAUUUUUUUCUAGGUGAUUGUAUGUGCUUAGAAAUUAAGUGUUUUGAAAAUUAGUGGUGAGAAAUCACACUUAGAAACUAAGUGUAGAACCAUAGAAAUGUUACCCCAUCGGUUCUAGCAAUGCCUAGUUACCGCAGUUCAUAACAAAGAAAGAAAAGAGGCUCGUAAAUGCAUACCAUAAAAAAGUGAGACAAUCAACAAUUAUAAAAAAAAAACAUAUGCAAUAUGCAUUAAAAAAAGCUCAUAAAAAAUACAGAGUCAAGUCAGUUAGGUCAGCUAUUAGAGCUUUUGGGGGAAAACAUUGCUUUUGGCCUAACCAAAACUAGACCAUCUAUUUUUACUGUUUUAAACAUAACAUCAAGUUUGAUUGAGGGCUUUGAAAAGAGGAGGAAUCCUCCUCGAUCCACCGUAGGGCGAAAACGAGGCUUGUUGUCACUUCGAAGGGAGCAGUCAAACUUAGCAUUGAGUUUGAUUUUUUUUUUUGAAAAGGUAAUGAUAAUAUUAUACAACAACAAGGUGGACCUCACAACCUGAGGUCAAGACAAAAGAGCGAACAACACUCACAGAACAAGUAGUUAGACAAAACAACCCAUAAGUACCCAAAACAACCCCACAUCUCGGGAACAAGAACUAAAACCAAAAGAAACCAACUAGUGUUCCAAACAUUAAAAGGACAAGAAGAAGAGAGAAAGACAACAAAGUUAAUAAAGAGAAGAGAAACCCCACAGCCCGGGACAAGCAAACGAAAAGAACAUUAAAUAAGACCAUGAACACCAUCCGACCAAGAAGCAGCACGCGCUUUAAUACACGACCGAAUGAGCUGGAAUACAACCAUAAGCUCUCGAACAGCACCUCCAUGAAGACGAUGAUUUCGCUCCUGCCAAAUGAAAUAAAUUGUAGCACACCAGAGAAGGCGCCACAGUUUUCUCCUCACACUCUUCCCAAUACCCUGAUUAUAAAUCCAAGAUAGCUCAACCCCCAAUAACCGAUUCUAUGAGAAGAUGACAUAAGCAAAAGGAUCCUCGACCAAAUCUCCCACCCAAAAUGACAAGAAAAAAACAAAUGAUCACGAGACUCAUAGUUCCCUCCACAAAGCAAACACGAUAAAGGAAUCGACCUAUCCCACCGACUUAACCUAUCUCUAGUACCCAACCUAUCCCUGAUGGCCAACCAAGCACAGAAGGAGUGCUUAGGAAUAUUUCCCCCACCCCAUAGUAAAUCCGACCAGUCAACCCUACUACUAUGAGGACGAAUAGUCUCCCACUCACUGGUGAUCGAAAAACUAUCAUGACUCCCCAGCACCCAGACCCACCUAUCCUCAACACUCGGACUCGGCCUCACUCCCUAAACCCUAUCCCAAAUGUCCAUCAAAUCCAAAGAAACAAGCAGCCACCUCCAAUCACCAUCCCGACCCAUGAAAUCCACCAGCCUCGCAUCCCACCGACUACCCGCAUCAUAGAUCACCCUCUACCCAAACUGCUGGAUAAUCGGCCCACCCUGAAUCCAUGGAACCAACCACACUCUACACUUCCUUCCAUUGCCCACCUUCAUCUUAACAUGAGCUUUAAGGAUAUCCCGCUUACGCAAGAUUUCCCUAAAGCACCAAGAUCGACCCACCCCAGCAUCGAUCUCCCACAGCGAUCUCCCUUUAAGGAUAUAAGAUUCCACCCAAGCAACCCACAAACUACCAGAUUUAACAAGUAGCAACCAUAAUAUCUUCAACGUGCUUGCUAUAUUCCAAGAAGAUCCAUCGCGAAUAUCAAGACCUCCUUCAUCAAAAGGAAGACAAACCUCAUCCCAGGCAACUUUAGCACCACCUCUUCCCUCCUCCUUACCUCUCCACAGAUAAGCCCUCAAGAUCUUAUCAACGUCUCUGUGGACUUUCAUAGGAAGCAUGAACACACUAGCCCAAUAAACCUGAAGGCUCCUAAGGACUGAGCGAACAAGCUAAAGUCUACCUGCAAAAGAUAACACUCUAGCAGACCAAGACCGAAUAUGACUGGUAAUACGCUGAAUAAGGGGAUCACAAUCAGAGCUCCGCAAUCUUCCAGAGAGGAGAGGAAGCCCAAGAUAACGAACAGGGAGAUGACCAAUGGAAAAAUCCAUGUUAGCAGCAAGCCAAGAAGCUUUCGAACUAUUAACCCCCACAAGAAAAAUUUGAGCUUUUAGCAAGAUUAGCAAACAGUCCCGAAAGCUCACCAAACCUCUUAAUAGUCUCUUUUAUGAAACUCAUAGAAUGAUUAUCAGCAGUACAAAAGAUCAUCAGGUCAUCUACAAAAGUAAGAUGAGUUAAUCUGACCUUCUCACAAAACUGGUGGAAUUGAAAAUUCUGAGGUGGGCUGUUCAACAUGCGAGAAAGCACCUCCAUGACCAUCACAAAUAAGAACGGGGAUAAAGGGUCACCUUGUCUAAGUCCUUUCCUCCCAUGGAAAAAACCUUCCAACGAUCAUAAUCAUAUGGAGAACAUCGGAGAGGUCACACACGCUCGAACCCAACUCACAAAUCUUAAAGGCGUACCUAUGGCAAUCAGCAGGCCAAAGAGGAAAUCCCAAUUAACAGAAUCAUAAGCUUUUUGGAGGUCAACCUUCAUAGUGCAUCGAGGUUUACCUCUGUGCAAAUGGUAUGCCCCUACAAGCUCCUGACAAAGAAGAAUAUUGUAAAUAAUACUCCUCCCAGGGAUGAAAGCUGGCUGAUUUCCACUAACAAAAGAAGGAAGCCACACACGAAGCCUAUCUGCCAAUAUUCUUGAAAUGCACUUAUAAAUAACGCUGCAACAAGAUAUAGGGCUGAAAUCCUCCAAUCGAUCAGCACAAUUCCUUUUAGGAAUAAGUGUAAUAGCAGUCGUAUUCACCCCUUGAGGGAAGUAAUUGGUCUCAAAGAAGUGUAAGACGACAUCACAGAAACCCUCUCCAACCACCGUCCAAGCUCCUUUGAAGAAGCCAACUGAAUACCCAUCAGGGCCUGGAGCCUUUCCACCAUCCAUGGAGAACAGAACACGUCUCACUUCCUCCCUGCCAAUAGGCGACUGGAGGGCCUGGCAACACUCCUCAGUCCAUCUAAACUGAACAAUCUCCUCAAUACAAGUAGAGAGCUCUCUGUAGCUAAUAUUCUGAGAACCCAGACUAUCUUUGAAAUAAUUAACUACCACCUGAGUCACCUGAUCAUGGUUAGUCAAUCGAUUUCCAUCUGGGUCAAUAACUGAUUUCAAAGCAUUGCUGCUCUGCCUUGAUCGAACAGAUCGAUGAAAAAAGGCAGUAUUCUGGUCAUCUAGCUUCAACCAUCUGACUCGCGAUUCUGGCACAUAGCGGCUUCCUCCACUCUAACCGCUUUCCAAAAGUUUACCCUGGCUAAGCUCGCGUGAUUACUCGCCUCCUCCGACAGAGACUUCGUCUCCAUCUCUCUUUGAGCUCAGUCCAUGGUAUCAUUGGCAAGAUGAGCAUCCUCACUGAUGGUCCGGAUAUGCCUACCAAAAUGCCUGCGAAGAAUCGACUUGAGAUUUCUUAAGUUCCUCACAAUAUUCACAAUUGGAGAAACUCUAGUAUCUUUGGUCCAAGCAGAGGACACAACAUCCAUAAAGGACGCUUCUUCAACCCAAUGGUUAAAGAAACGAAAAGAGACCACUUGUUUUUAUAUGUUUCAACCCAACAAUCUUCAUGGGACCAUCUCCUCGGUCAAUUUCCUGUAUUUCGUUUUUAUAUGUUUCACGAUUCACGUAAACCAGUUCGGGUCCACUCAUGUCCGACCAUUUCUUCCUCACAGAAAUUAGGUCAGCCUUUGCAGUCGUCGCCCUUCGGUCGUUCGUCGCCAUAUCAUGUACGCGUUGAAGGCUUGACAUCACGCGUUUCUUCACCUCCUCAACGUCACUGGAGAAUUUCUUCAUCGUUUCAUGCUUAGGACAUCAACCCAACACCCGUGAUGAUCUUUUCGGCCCAAUCUGGGAACACGAAUGAACUCAAAAAGAAUUGAAAUUCAACUGAGGAGAUUCAUGUGAGAUCCCUCCAGCGAGUGAAUUAAAUCACGGUCUUCAAACCCAAAACUGAUAGCCAAUAAAUCGAUUCGUACCACACGCAAUACUUUCAAGAUAGUUCAAAUCAAUUCAGCUUGGAAACCGAUUUAAACAAUUUCUGGACAGACGUUAAUUCUCCCGAAUCAAAACGAAUAUCAUUCGUAAUGGUUCAAUUGAUCAAUUGUAAUAAAUUUCGAAAUGGAUACCAAAUGACAUUAGUUUUCACAUUCAAUCUGCCAAAACCGAACGAAUUACCUUCGAAUUUGAUCCCUUGCUGACCGCAGCACUCACCAGCCGUUCGCUCCUUCACCAGCCGAGUGAGAGAACUUGGAAAUCCUAGAGAGACACGUGUGAGGGACACGCACCCGAGAUGAAAUUUUUUCCUUUUUACUCUAAUUGAGUUUGAUUGAGGGCUUUGAAAAGAGGAGGAAUCCUCUUUGAUCCACAAUAGGGGAAAACGAGGCUUGUUCUCACUUCGAAGGGAGCAGUUAAACUUAGCAUUGAGUUUGAUUGAGGGUUUGAAAAGAGGAGGAAUCCUCUCUGAUCCACAAUAGGGGAAAACGAGGCUUGUUGUCACUUCGAAGGGAGUAAUCAAACUUUGAAACUAAGUGUAGAACCAUAAGGAGAUUACCCCACCGGUUCUAGCAAGGCCUAUUACCAUAUUUCAUACCAAAGAAAGAAAAAAAAGGCUUGUAAAUGCAAACCAUAAAAAUGUGAGACAAUCAACAACUAUAAAAAAAACAUAUGCAAUAUGCAUUGAAAAAAGCACAUAAAAAUUAGAGAGUCAAGUCGAUUAAGUCAAGUAGAAUGUGUUGAGUUCCCUAACUAUUAGUGCUUUUGGGGGAAAUUUUCACUUUUGGCCUAACCAAAACUAGACCACCUAUUCUUAGCGUUCUAAACAUAGCAUCAAGUUUGAUUGAGGGCUUUAAAAAGAGGAGGAAUCCUCCCCAAACCACGGAAGGGGGAAAAUGAGGGUCGUCACUCUGAAGGAAGCAGUCAAACUUAGCAUUGAGUUUGAUUGGAGGCUUUGAAAAGAGGAGGAAUCUGAUAGACCCCUAUAUACAUCUGUACAGCGGAAGAGGGACAAAGAAAUUAAAAAAAAAAAAUAUCACGUGCACAUGAAUGAUAGCAUGUGCUUUCAAAGUGUUUUGGCAUAAUAGAAGUGAAUAACAACUUUCAAUUUAGAACUACAAUAUCAAAUUUGAGGUCUCUUGAAUUUAGAUGCCUACUAGAAGAGUGCAAAUGGUUUAUUAGGACAUCUCGUUAUAAGAAGCGCGAGUUGUGGAUGCUAUGAAAAUACAUUUAUGAACAUGACUGUUCAUUGAAUACUAGUUUUUUGUUAUAAGGGAAUGUCCUUCAAAUGCUUUCGCUUUAUGUUUUUUUUUUUUUCCUUUGUACAUGAGGUUGUUUAAAAAAUUUUGUGAUGGAACUGAGUUUACGAACUGUUGUUUUGUAAAUAGUACUUUUAAAGUUUUGUUAUUUGAAGUAGGGCCCGAACUUAAGUUUGUUUUCUUUGAUCGUAUGAUUUCAAGUGAAUUUUACUAUAUUUUGUGUCAAUCACGGUCUCUUUGUCAAAAUUAAUGACUUCAACUUAGUUAGAAAAGUUGGGUCGUUACGACAAAAUUUAAGUAUUAAUGUAAGAAUUAUGUACUUCAUUAUAAAGAUCGAUAGUUUAAAGUUUUUGACGAUAAUUUACAUGGAAUUACACGAUCAGUUACCAUUAUCAAUUACACGAUAAGAAGAGCGAGUUGUGGAUGCUAUGAAAAUACAUUUAUGAACAUGACUGUUCAUUGAAUACUAGUUGUCACAUGCAAGCUUCUUCAACAGUAAUUGACAGUUGCUUGAUAGAUGAGUUCAGGUUCAUGUCUACUGAUCGUUUCAUUCCAAAGCAAUUGUGCAUAAGGCAUGUACAAAUCUUGGAGUUAAUAUAAGUUAGCAGAAAGCUUGGAGGCAAAAGAACACAUAGUAAAGAUAUUAAAAGGUGACACAGUUAAAUCAUACAUGUUGAUUCCAAGGUUCUUUGAUAAAUUGGUUGAAUCUAUCUCAGGUAUAAUGAGUUUCAUAUAUAGAAUGAUGACAUCAAAUUGUGUAGACAGUGUAAAUUUAGUUUUUAAAGAUCUUAGAGAACUACCUGUAGCUACCAUGCUUAGUUCAAUUAGAGAUGUAUUGCAAAAGUGGUUUGAUGAAAGAAGUAAAGCUACUUUUACAAUGAAGAGUUGUUUGACUUCUUGGGCUGGACGUUUGCAUUUAGAAUAACAUGAAAAGUCAAGAAUUUUAUUGGUAAGGUUUUUUUUUUUUUUUUAAUGUUUGUAUCUUAGGUAGAUAUAAAUAGACUGCUAUUUUGUCAUCCGAUAGAGAAAUAUAAAAAUUUAUGUGUGCUUGUUUCAGAUAGAUAGAGAUAGAUAGCUAUCAAUGCUAUUUGUCUCUAUUUGUGCAUGCUUUUUUUUUUUUAAUUUUUCUAUAUUGUUUUAUGUAUUAGGUUGAUCCAAUUAGUAUGACUGAAUACAAAAUAAUGGAUGAUACAAAAUGGUAAUGUGAUUUAUUUAUAUUGGUUCUAAUUUGAAAUAUUCAAAUUUACUUUGGAAAUUAGUUUAAUUAGUAUAAUAUAUAGUGAUACAAUUAUAAUAUAAAGUUUAUAUGUUAAUGAAACUUUAUUAUAUAAAUUUAAUUUUAGAUAAAGUUCAAAAUUAAUUUAUGAGAUAAAAUAUUUGAAUGAGUUCAAAUAUUAAUUUAAUGUGGAUUUGUUUCAUAUUAAAAUUAUUAAUUAUGAGAUAAAGUUAUAUUUGAAUAUGAUUCAAAUUUAACUUAAGUUAAAUAUAAAAUAUUUAAUUUAGUUAUUAAUUAAUGUGAAGAAUUAAUUAAUAGUUUAGUUUAAUAUUAUUUAAUUAAAUUAAUAUGAAACUAUAAGGUAUUGGAGAAUAUUCAUUCAAUAGAUUUAAAUGAAAUAUUAAAUAUNNNNNNNNNNNNNNNNNNNNNNNNNNNNNNNNNNNNNNNNNNNNNNNNNNNNNNNNNNNNNNNNNNNNNNNNNNNNNNNNNNNNNNNNNNNNNNNNNNNNNNNNNNNNNNNNNNNNNNNNNNNNNNNNNNNNNNNNNNNNNNNNNNNNNNNNNNNNNNNNNNNNNNNNNNNNNNNNNNNNNNNNNNNNNNNNNNNNNNNNNNNNNNNNNNNNNNNNNNNNNNNNNNNNNNNNNNNNNNNNNNNNNNNNNNNNNNNNNNNNNNNNNNNNNNNNNNNNNNNNNNNNNNNNNNNNNNNNNNNNNNNNNNNNNNNNNNNNNNNNNNNNNNNNNNNNNNNNNNNNNNNNNNNNNNNNNNNNNNNNNNNNNNNNNNNNNNNNNNNNNNNNNNNNNNNNNNNNNNNNNNNNNNNNNNNNNNNNNNNNNNNNNNNNNNNNNNNNNNNNNNNNNNNNNNNNNNNNNNNNNNNNNNNNNNNNNNNNNNNNNNNNNNNNNNNNNNNNNNNNAAGAUCAUUGAGUUUCAAAGCUUCUUUAAUUAAGAUUUUGUUUCUUGAACUAGAAUUGUAGUCUUGUGAUUUUUGGAAUAGCAUAGUUGGAUUGGUUUUGUAAUUUUGGGAUUAUCAUAUUAUGGGUGACUGAAGUAGUGUUUUGUAUAUGACAAUAUAUCGAUCAAACAUGUAAAGUUUUCGAAAUUUCAUACAUAUAUGAUUAAAUGUUAAUAUAUGUUAAAGUUUUGGAAUUGUACUCGUGCAUAUUUAUGAGAUUGUUGGGCCACACUACAGGAAUUAUAGAGACAAUGCAGGAACAAAAAUAUAAAUAAAUUAUAAUUUAGAAAAAAAAAAUGAUUCUUGACGAUUUUUAACUGUCAUGAAUAUUUGUAUACUUGACGUUUAUAAACUGUUAAGAAUCGCUAUUCUUGACGUUUUACUAACCGUCAAGAACUUUGACUUUCUUGGCGCUUCAACGACAGUUUUAAAACCGUCAAGAAUAGUGAUUCUUGACAGUUUAAAAACGUCAAGAGAGUCUGUUUUUGUAGUAAGAAUGAUAAGCUUAUUGAGUCGGCGAUCUAGCCACUCUCACUCGUACAAAUCAAAGGAAAAUCUCUCGCGAACAAGAGUUCAUAAUACACUCAAGAUUAAGACUAAUUACUAGGUCAUCUAGAAAUAGAAACCUAACUAGUUAAUGUUAGUAAAUGGAUUAGUAAUAUGCCCCACUAUUAUCACAAUAUAUGUAUAGGGCAUGUUCAUGUUUGGAACAACUUCCAAAUUAUGCAAGAACUUCUCAGCAAACUGCUUCUUUUGCUGCUUCACAGUAGUAGCAAUAUACUCAACUUUCAUAAUAGAGUGUGUAAUGAUGCAUGGCUCAGGCUGCUUGAUCAUGCCAAGACAUGCUUCUUGCAUGUCCCAAGCCUAAAUAACCUCUUUCGCUCAAAACACACGCUCAUCUCACCUUGUCAUCCUGGCAAUCAACCCACCCUUGGCCUUGCCUAGAAAUAUGAUUUUUCUACCAUAAACUUAACUUGACUUUGAAGCUUAAAUCAAUAAGAUUCCUUCUACAAACUUACUUAGAAUGUCUUCACUAGCUUACCACAAAGUGUCACUAACAAAUUCCAAAAUACUCUACAUUGUUCAAGUUUUUUUUUUUUUUUUUAUGAAAAUGACCUUUGAGUCUUUCUUCACUUCAAUGCCUUUCUUCCUGGUAGCCUUUCUCCUGAUACUACGCUCAAUUUAGGAGAUUUUCGAAGUAGAGACACCCAAUUAACACAAGUUGAUUGUUAACAUAAUUCGUCCAAAGUUGUACAUAUAGUGAUCCUUGCAUGCUCUUUGGUUGACACUUUUAUUCUCACCUCUUACGCCCAUACUUGCCACUUUCCACCUCAUGCAAGACACUUAUUUGGCAAAACUUAGGUAUCUUGUAUGUUGUCCACUUGUACUCUACCGCACAUCUUACCUCAUAUUGCUUAAGUCAUCCUUGGACGCAUAUCCCAUUUUCUAUGAGGGUUCUUUAGUAAAUUCUUACUGCCAAGAAUGCCUAAGACUUUUUUUUCUGCCUAAUCUCCCAAACAUCCCUCAAUGCCUUCAACAAACCAUGCCAUCUUGACUAGCAUUUGGUUGAAUUGCCCCAUUGGCCGCAUGGCCUAUGUCCACAUAGCCCACCUCUUUGUUGCAUGACAUUCCUUAUCCACGUUCUAACUUCUUUAGAGUUUCUUGACAUUUCCUAGAUGCUUAGCUUCCUUGCCUAGCGCAUACCCUUGGUCAUAUAGCCUUGUCUUAUAGAGGUUGUCUUGACACCUUUCGGCCAUACCACAUCUCAACCUUUGGCCACCCAACAUGUCUCUUUAGAGGUUCGCUUGAUACUUUUGGCCGCCUAGAGUAUGCAACAUGCCCUAGCCAACACUUAGCCAACUUUCGAACACCCUUUAGGCCUUUCUUUGUUAUGAUGACACUUUUCUUUUGUCAUCUUAAAAAUAUUAACGCAUCUUCCAUAACACUUCAACUAAACUAUCCAAUCUUAAACCAUCUUUCUCCUAACAUCAACCCCUAAUGUCCUAUUGAGUUCUUUAGAUGAAUUAAGGAUUAUUGGGUAUCGGGGUUUACACGCGAGAUGUAAGUCUUCCUCCUUGAAUUACGUAUAGUAGUGUGCGGAGGGAGAGGAAUGUGAUGCAGGUCUUCCUCCUCAACCCUAAGGAAUUCUUCUUCGCUAACAAUGCCCUUUUGAUCGGGUAAGGGCUUGUUCGGUCAGGUUGUGAGGUGAAGGAUGUUGUUAUAAUGAUGCGGGAUUUGGUGGUGAGAGGAUAUGUAAAGCCCCAAAGGUAAAAUAUAUAUAUAUAUUUUAAUUUUUAUAUAUUUUUUAAUAUUAAUUUAAAUAAAAGAAAAGAAAAAAGAAAAAUUCUUUAUUAUAUAUUUUUUUCUUUUUUCUCUUUUUUUUUUUCUUUUCUUUUUUUUUCUCUCUUCUCUCCUCCCGUGCGCCGCGACCUCCAUUCCCUUCUCCUUCCGUCCGCAGCCCAGCAACCGCCAUCCCGAGACUUCUCUUCUUCCAUUUCUCCUCUCCGUUCAGUCCAAACCCAGCCGGACGUCGCUGCAACCGUCGGCCAGUUCGCGAGGCAGCCGUACGCGUCACCUUGCGGCCGCUGUCCAGAUCUACACCACAAGACCUUCCGCCGCUGCAACCGUUGCUCUUUCGCCGCUGCCUGGUCCAGAUUUGCGUCGCCGUGCACAGCCUCACCGCCGCGGCAACCGUUUCCGCGUCUUGCUCUGUCUCCGUCGAAGCCUGAGCCGCCGUGUGAAGCAGUAACUGCCACGUCCUCCGCUCACAACCGCCGUCCAGAUCCUCGCCGCCGCUCGCAACCGUCGGCCGGUUCAUGUAGUCCUGUCGCACAACCUCCGUUUCCAGCCACCGCCCAUCCCGUUCUCUUUUGUUUCAGCACUGCCCGCGCGACUCUCCGACCGCGUCUGUCUUCACCUCUGUGAAGCCGUUGACGCAUACAUCUUGUGAAGCUCGGUCGCCGAGUCAAAUCGUCGAUCGAUUUUGAGGCAGCCGCCACGUCUCAUUUGGCCGACUGCUGAACGACCCACACUUAGGAUUUUUGCUGUGAGUUUGAUAUUCGUGCAUUGAGGUGUUGGGAGUAACGUUAGGCUCCCUUACAUUCACAACCAGUUUGUGAAUUGUUCAAGGUUCAGUUCGCCAAUAUAUCGGUGAGUUGGAACUUACGUUGAGGAAAGUAAGUGAGAUAUGUAUCGUGAAAGUAAUUGAAUUUUGUGUUGUUAUGCUUAGGAUUGUUUCGAGGACGUUAGUUGAUUAAGGAGCUUCCCUAACUUUGAGGUAAGGGAUUUUCUACUAGACUCACUUAUGACUGUGAAUUGUAUGUGUUAAAUGUAUACUGUGGAUUGACUGAAAAUAUAUAUGAAUGCAUAUGAAUUGAAGUAGACUUUACAUCGAAUGUAUAUCGUGAUUGUCAUGGAAUAUAUAUAUAAGUGUGUGUAUGUGGACAGGACGAAGAUUGUAGAUUGUUUUGUAUGAGAUGCAGAUGUGAACUUGUGAUUUUCGUUUAGAUUGGGUGUACGUUACGCUAAAGUAUGACUGUGUGCUGGUGAACUGAGGGGUGUGUUGACUGUAUAGUUUGAUUGACUGACGUAUUAGUAUAUUAUUGACAGACAUAUGACUAAAGUAAAAUAAGUUAACUGUUAGGACGUUGAGAGAAAGAACCUUGUGUUUUGAAGUAACUGAAAGAUGGACUGAAUGGAAUGAGGGGAAAAUUGUUAGCUUGUAUUGGAUGUGUACCUUGUAGGUGUCCCACGGGAUCACCAAUUUAUUGUGCACCUUUGGGAGCAUUAGACUGAUAUGUGUUUCUAUAGAACACUAAACUGAUAUGUACGUCCCUCGGGCGUUAGACUGAGAUGUGUAUCCUACGGGAUCACAAGACUGCGACUGUACAGGGUGUCCCAAUAGAAGUUAACAAUUUAUUUUCCCCUGACGGGACCAGUAGAGGGUCUCUUACUGAGUAUUUAAAUACUCACCCUUCUUAUGUUUAAUUUUCAGGCAAAGGUAAUAAAGGCAGCAAACCGGCGAGGGGCAGGAAGGAAGCGUGACUGCCAUAGGAAAUAUGUUGUUUGCUUCCGCUUAUGGGUUCUUGUGAGGUUUAAGAUGAAUUGAAAUUUUGCUUACAAACGUUUAUUGUAAAUAGUAUUGUUUUUAUGUUUUCUUGAAUGUUUGGAAUUCAGGCCUGACUUAAAGAUGUUUUUAAAUUAGCUUAUGUUUCGUUUUAUAUUAAUCAAAGUCUUUUAUUUGUAAAAAAAUUAAUGACCUCGACUUACUUAGAAAAGUUGGGUCGUUACAGGAUAAUAGACAUGCGAGAGGACUUGGGUAAGAUUGAUGAGGGGGAGUUUCAAUUUUUGGAUGAGGACUGGAAUUGAAGGAUUUGGAUUUUGGAGGAGGCGAUGAGAGAGUUAGGGGUCGGAUUGCAAGAGGUUUAGGGUCGAUGGCCACGUCUAGCUUUCGUCUUUUUUCCUUUUUAUACGAGUUAGACGUGUCAUCGUGGACCUUUCUCCUCUUGAGCAGUGGUGCCAGCGGAGAAGCCUCUUCUUCUUCUCUGCCAUUCCAUUCUUCUCCCUUAACUUUAUUAAAGGUUUUGAGUGUCUCUCUUCUUCUUUAUUUUGAUGAGUGUUAUGGUUUGGUUGAGAUUCGCCUGAGAACAUGCAUAAGGGGUGAUUGUAGAAAAGCUAAAAGCUUAGGAACCGUCGGAGGAAGGGCAGAUCAUUAAUUGUAUGUUACGCCUUCCUCUGACGUGGUGGCAGCAAUGUUGAGAAUAGAUUUAGUGAUUCCCGACGUAUCAUUAAUCCCGUGGAUAUAUGUUUAGGGAUUUCUGACGUUUAACAAAUCAGGUCAAGAAUAGGGUGCUAUUCCCGACGUUUUCAUUGUGCGUCAGGAGUUCUCUGUCUUUUUUAACUCCAUUCUUUACAUAAAGGAAACAUAAAGAGAAAUAAAAUGAGAGAGGGAGAGGGAGACCGAGAGGAAGAUUGAGAAGAAGAUGGCAUUGUCAUCUCCAUUGUCGUCCCGUCGUCGCCGCCAUCGGUAAUUGGUUUAGUUUAGUUAUUAUUUUGUUUUAGUUAAUUAGGUUUAGUAUUUAGAUUUCAAAUUUGUUUUAGGUGUUAGAUUUUAGAUUUCAAAUUAGUUUUAGUAUUUAGAUUUUGAAUUAGUUGUAAGUUUUAGUAUUGAAAUUUAAUUUCAAGUGUUGUUAGAAUUUUGAAUUAGUUGUAGGUUUUAGAAAUUUGAAUUUGAAGUGUUGAAGUUGAGAUUGAAGUGUUGAAGUUGAGGUUGAAGUGUUGAAGUUGAGUUUGAAUUUAAAAUUUUCAAUUUGAAUUUAGGAAUUAAUUGAAGUUAUUUUUUUUAAAAAAAGAUAGAGGAUCUCCCGACGCAUGGUUCCUAGACAUCUCUCGAUGCUAUAUUGACAACAUCUUCGACGUUCAUACAACGUCGGAAGAUGUCUAGAAACUCUCGACGCACAACAUUGUGCAUCGGGAGUUCCUCUCCCGAUACAUUUUUCCUGACUUGUGUUCCGACGUAUGCGUCAGAAAAGCCUUUUCUGACGCUUUUUAUAUAUCUCCCAAUGAUUUUAUGCAUCGAGAGAGCCCUCAUUUCUUGUAGUGUUAGACAAAGAGCUUCAAUGUGGUAGAGGGGAAAGGCAUGGCACCUUUAGGUUAACUGCCAUCUUCUAAUUAAUGCAAUAAAUCAUCAUUGUGCACUCUAGUGGGAUGGUGUUGUUGUCAACUAGGCAGGCGGUUUCGUUUUCAAGUCUUAGUUCUUAAUUCUUAACAACCUUUAAGUAUUGAUGUUCUACCCCAACCCUCAUCCAAAACGAUAACUAACACAAUGGUUUGGAUGUUUUUGUGAAACAUCAUCUAACUUUUUCUUUAAUGGUUAAUGAAAAAAAAGCCAGGAAAAUGGUAUUGUUUUGAAUAUUUUUGUAAAAUAGUGGAUGAAGAAGUUUUACUAAGAUAAAGUUUCAUGUUGGACAAGAGGAUAGUGGAUGGGAAUUAAGUUGAAUGGUCCACUUUUUUUUUAAAUCCUUUAAGGUUUUAUGAAAACCUUUCACAAUACCUUUUCAUAAUCAUUUUGUAAAAAUAAUAUCAAAUCAUUUAAAUAUACCGAAAAAUUAUUUCAUUUCGAAUAAACCUUUCUUUAUGCUUAAAAAAUCAUUUCAUUUUUUGUCAAUGAUCCCGAAUCGUUCUCUACGCUUGGUCUCAUUACCUCGCGUUUAGACUAUUGUAUCAACAGCAUCUGAGAACAUACAAAUUCGUCUUUGUUGCUCAUACUGCUAAGCUUUAUACGCUCAUUUAAAUGCAUAAGUCAGCUUCUUAUUACCAAGUAGUUCGUACACUCCAUAGUGGCCUUCACUCUUUAUGUGCACACAAAAGUUAGCAUCAUCUCAAAGAAACAUAAUACUGAAAUCAUAGUCAUCAAAUCAAGCUUUAACAUUAUAAAUAAUGCUUGAAAACAUAACUUUUCAUAGAAAUCUUUCUGAAACAUUCUCAUCUGAAUUCUUCUUUCAAAUCAGUAAAGAGAAAUCGUAAUAAAGUUUCUUAACAUAAAUUCUUUUGACUGAAAAGCACUCACCAAAAUUUACUAAAGAAGUCCUUCUCAGAACCAUCUUUUCGCGUGGCUAAACCAACAACACUUUAACAUUUCAACAAAACUCUCAUCAUCCCCUCCUUAGUUACCUAAAUUCUCCUAUUUUAUAGAUCCCUUAUACUAACUUAGUCGUGCAAAUCCUUAAUAUUUAACCUAGUCAUGCUCAAAUCCUUAAUCUUACAUGUUAACCCAUGUCAAAUCAGAUUUGACAUUUUCUUUACAAACCUUGCUCCCCGCCUAACCCAAACCGUGAAUAAAUUCAACCACUUAACAUUUCUCGUGAAUAACCUUAUCGCUUGAUUAUAUUUUUAUUAUAAGAAACGUUCCACGUGAACUAACCAACUUUUACUCGCAUAAAACUCUUAUCACGAACUUAAACACCAAGGCUUCCUCAUAGACUUCUUCUCCACGAAACACUUGGUUCUUCUCACGAAGACCACCCAAAACUCCUAGUCUAACACUCAAACUUCAAGGUGGCGCAAGCGCUUGGUGGGAUCAAUUACAAAACAAUAGACGAUUAUUCGUUAAACAAUCUAAAGAUUAGCUGAAUAUCUUAUAAAAAGAUGUUGUCGUAGGCUUAGUGGUGACAGGUGAGAAAGUAAGUUGUGUCUUUUAUGACUCUUAAACGUUGAAGUCAAUCAAUGAGUUCCAAAUGGAAUAUUGGAAGUUUUCUUAAAUAUUUUGAUGCUUGUGCAUGUUGUGAAAGAAUUUGGUUAGAUGUGAAAGGGGUUUUAUGAGAUUAGUUACUUACUAUUCCCUUUUUCACUGUCAUUGCUACUCAGUAGACAUGCUAUGGGCUCGUGUUUCUGUAGAAUAUAAUUCAGAUGCUCUUUCUCUAGAAUAUAAUUUAUAUGUUCUAUCUACAAAUUUGAAGUAAUUUCUACUGCUUUUGCUAAUAUUCUCUAAAGCUUAUUCAAAUGUAGUUGUUUAAUGACUGUUCAGAUUUAAAAUAUAUUAUAGAGUUAAAUUUAACACAGUUAAUCAGCUUAAGCAUUUGACUCUGGUGUUCUUAAGAUAUAAAUUCAAAUCCCUAUAAUUUUAUCAUGUUGAUCUUUUCAAUCUUCUCACAUACCGUCUUCAUUUCAUAAUCUUGCCUACUAGUUGCGUAUCAUCAAUGAAAUUACCAUAGGAGUCCACAUGUGGUAAUUAUGGAUCUAGCACGAUAUACUGCGUAUCAUGUUGUUGAAGAUCAUUUUAAAUGGUUAACCAGUCUAUUGGUGGUUUCAGUCUUUCCUUUUGAAUCUAUAGGUUGUUCAAUGUCUAAUAUUAACUAUGUUUAGAUUUAUGGUAAUUUUCAUUCUUUUACACCCUUAAUAACCAAGAAAAGGUGUGCUUUGAUAAUCUUUUCUUUCUCUUCGGUAGGUUGGUAAUGUAGAAAGGAUACAUGUAUACUAUGCCCAUGGACUAGAUAGCCCAACCUUUGUUUGCCGGUGUUAUUGGCUCCUAGAUAAGUAUGUUAUGGGUGAAAGAAAAUUGUUAAAUUGCUUGCUACCAGUUGUUUCAGUGGGUCUAUCCCCAUCAUGCCACAAGCAAAGAAAAAUGAAAUUAGACAGUGGCAGUAUAUCGUGUUCUACUUAUAUAAUUUAUGACACAAGAGGUUAGCUUCUGCUUUUUGUUCAGGACCUUUGAACACAUUGUCCUUGUUCAUUACCGUGAAAACAAGAGGUUAGGUUUAGCACAAUGCAUCUGCAAUUACUGAAAUAUUAUCUUGAGACAAACUUUUAUCAUUUUGACUACUACAUCUAUUUAAGAUUUGCUGAUUUUUCCUCCAUGGUUGCAAUAUUAGAACUUCAUCCAAAAUAAUGUUGUCAUGUGUGUCUUUAAAUUUUUACUGGCAGUCUGGCACUAUAUAGAUCUAGUAGUUGUGCAUGCAUGUCUUCCUCUCUAUCCUCCAUUGAAAAACUCGAUAAUUAUCUGUUUGUGUUUUAUUUUGAUGAUUUAAUCCAACAUUUAUUACGGAUAAAGUCAGCCAUAAAAUACAUAUGUUUACUAUUGCUCUUUGUACAUUUUAAAUACUAGAUUUCUUGAUGAUUGUUGUCUUUAAGUUGCUCUUAAUGUUGUUGCAUAUGGAGAAAUGCACUGUAAUUUUUGUACCAAUUUUAUUACUGCUUUUAACUAAAUCUUCAAAAAUCAAGGCACCACCUGGAUGUAGAGUGCUAUAUGGUGAUUCAAGUGUUGAGAGUUCUCUUUCUUCUGCUAUGCAUAAAUUUAUGGAAUGGAAAGGCAAUGAUCAUGACACUAUUUUUUGUCAGAUAAACAUUGAUUUCAUAUGCUUCAACUCUGUGGUGCUUCACAGCACAUGGAUAAAACUUCCAAACAUUCUGCACCCAAUAUUACCAUAAUGCAUUUGGACACUUCAUUAACAAGUUCUUACAAUUAGCCUUUCUAUAUUGAAAAUAAUUCGUUGUCUUAACUUCCUGUUGCUGCUAGUUUCAGAAUUUUCCAUCCAUAUCGUUGAACUCAAAUUCUGGUUCUGUCUCUAACCCAUCAACUCUGUGGCUUUUAUUGGAGGAACUUGAUUCCAAGGCUACUCAUGUUUAUUCUCUUGGUGAAAAUGAAUUGUCAGGUGAUACUGGCCGAACCUGUCAAAAAUAAAUGAGUCAUAGUUUGUUUGAUCAUUCAUUUUCUAAUCUUUCUUCUUUAUAUUUAAUUAGUUGUUUAAUUUCUUAAAAAAGAAUUCUGGUUUAUUUAUAGUAUAUUUGGUAGUAUGCAUGCCUCAACUCCUUAAAGGCAUGUCUCUUACAGUAUAUUUGGUAGUCUUUUAUAAUGUUACACCCUUUUUUUAAUUCCUAAAACCUUUUAUUAGAAAAUUAUUUUCAUUAUUUUGUAUGGUUACAAAACCAUCCAUUAACUACAUUAAUUAGACAAUUCACUCCAAUAAUAAAUAAAUAACAUUUUUGGAUCUAAGGUCUUUUCUCAUUCUACAAAUUUAAUUUACUAUAUAAAGGUUAUUAUGCUAAUUGAUGGAUAUAAAGAAACAAUAGAAUUUUUAAGGAUAAAUCAAGGUUUAUUGUUAACUUGUGGGAAGACAUAUGUAACUUGAUCGGAGUUUGGUCUAGGCGUCAUUCAUCUUGUAACCAAUAUGAUGUUACUACCAACUCUUAACUUUAAGCUUUGUUAGAUUAAGUGUUUCAGGCUUCCCUCUAGCCUUCAACCUUGUAACUUUAACUCUAUGUUAAUAGAUAAUGACUCUUAUCCUAUGUUUAUCCUAGUUUGAAGGAUUCAGUUCUUCUUCUUAAAAAAAAGUUGUAUUUCGACUACUAUUUGGGAGGAAAAUAUGCUUCACUAACUAAAAAUCUAAUGACACUUCCAAAACAUAUCAUUUCAAAAGAUGUUUCCUCAAUAAUAUAUUUAUAAUGCUCUUCCUUUAUAGAGUAAAACAGUAAAGCAACAAAACCAUUUUAAUUCAUUAUAUAUAUAUAUAUAUAUUUAUGUAUGUAUAUAUAUAUAUUUAUGUAUGUCAUUACUACAAAAAAGGCCUUUCUUGACGUUUGUUGUUUUUCUUUCUUGACAUUUUUUCAAAAAACGUCAAGAAAGCGGUAGUUCCAAAGAUAAAACGUCAAGAAUUUUUAGGAAAGGCGGGGUAGGUCAAUUUUCAGAUUUCUUGACGUUUAUUAAACAUCAACUAAUAUGUAUUUUUCUUGACGUUUUAAAAACAUCAAGAAAUAUCUAUAAAAAUUUUGACGAAACGUCAAGAAUGUUUAUAUAUUCAACAUUCUUCAAAAUUUUCAAACGUCAAGUAAUAUGUACUUUUACUUGACAUUUAAAAACGUCAAGAAAUAUCUUAAAAAUUCUUUAUGUUUUAAAAUGUCAAGAAUUUUUAUAAAAAGCCAGAGAAGAGUUAUUUUUUAAAUUUCUUGAUGUUUUUUAGACAUCAAGUAAGAUCGUUUUUCUUGACGUUUUAAAAACGUCAAGUGUUAUUAAAUAUAUAUUUAUAUAUAUAUAUAUAUAAAAGAAAAUAUUGGGUUGAAUCCUUCGAAGCCCUAGACUUGUCUCCGCCGCAUUCGAAAAUGGCAAGUUCUCUCUAAGGAUCUCUCACUUCUGCCGUGUUCACCGUCCGUCCGUCCGCGGUCACCACACCCUCUCCGAAAAUGCGUACUAGAUCCUUCGCUUUCAGUCGUUCACCAUCCACUGAGUACGAGAUCCCUAUGACUUCGCCAUCUGCCAUCCCUAAUACUCUGAAAUCGUCGUCCGUUGUCCCUCAAAAUUGUCGUCCUUCUCUAUGAAAACGUCGUCCUUCUUUCAAGUCUUCAUUCCCUUUAUGUCGUCCUUCUGUAUUUAGAGGUUAUACUUCAUUCCCCUAAAACUCCAUUGGUUUCCAUAUUUCAAGAAUUUGAAAUUUUUUUAGGAUAUUGCUAGUGGAAAUUUAAGUCAAUUCUGUUUGCUCCCAAACUACCUCCUGUUAUGCUGUCUGGUUGGGAGAAAUAAAGUCUUUGUCAUAUUUCAAGGUAGUGUAUGUUAACCAACACUUAGUGCAUUUUCGUGUUUAUGAGCUUAUUUUAGUUAAUAUGUUUUUGUAGGAAAAAUAUCAUGUCAAUAUGGCAUAUUAUCGAUGAAAUUGUAGUCGUUUAACACAAAAUUUUGAGGUUCUUUUUCAACUAAUUAUGCUUUAUCUAAUAUAUUUUUCCAAAUCUUAAAGAAGAACUUUUGAUUUCAUUGGAGUUUAUCAUUAGAGGCAUUACUAUAAUUGCUGCCUCUCAGUGGGCUAUAGAUUUUCCAAUGGUCAUUUGAGACUGGUUGAUAAUAGCAAAAGAUAGAGCUUGAGAAGAAGGAGCGAAGAAAGUAGCGAAGACAAAAGAAGAAAGAAAGCUGAGUGAAAAACGAAAAUUGACAAGGUAGAGAUGUGACAUGAAAAUGAUGAUGAGAAGUGAAGAAGGCACGACACAAUACUGGUACACAAUAACAAAGCCUUGAUAAUUAAAAAAAGGAUGGUGCCAAGAAAAUUUAAAUACAAAAAAAAUGAAGGUUUUUGCAAGUGUAUUGAGUGAAUGGAGAAAGAAAGGAUAAAAAAGGUAGAAAGAGAGAAAGAGAAGUCAAGGGUAGAGAUACAUAGCUUUGUAUAUAGAAACUUUAUGUCUAUACUCCACUAUACGUUGUGGAGAAUAUAAUAUCCUGAUAUGUUUGAUUCAAUUUGAAUGAUGCAAUUAUUUAUUUUUCUGCAAUAAUUCUACUUCUAGAACCUAAAUUUUGAAAGCCUACUAAUUUUUCAGAAUUAAUUCGAGACCCCACUUUUGCUCCCCUUCCUACCUACGGUUACUUUUUGCUUAAACUUUAAAAGUUGUUUGAAAAUUUUUGCUGAAACUUGUAAAAUUUGUUUGAAUUUCGUAUAUCUCUCACAUAUUGCAAGGUUUCUUAAUUAUUUUAUUGAAUUUCCUACAUAAAUGCAUUCAAACAUGAGUUGACAUUAUUGAAAAGAUCCGUCAUCCUAAAGUAGUUCUGUUUUUUGGUGUCGUUUCUCAGAAUUUGCCUAUGAUGAUUGUUUCUGAAUACCAUCUGAAGGUAUGGAUACAUUUUCUUACCCUUUAUUUUAUCCUAAUGAAAAUUAUUCCAUCAUGUUUCAUUCCAAGCAUUUCAUUACAUAUUUUGUUCAUGUAUGAUGAAUGGUGAUUAGUUUUUGUAUCAACUUAUUCCCUCUUUCAUGUAUAUUUCAUCUUCCAGGGUGAUAUAUAUCAAUUUAUUCCCUCUUCAAUUGAUUCUUGUUUUUACUCUUGGCUUAUAGGUUGCUACAUGAUCGUAUAUUAGGAGAAAAAUUGUGCAAUUAUUUAUAGUUAGGGAGAUUUCAAUAGUAAAAAGCAAAGAGAGUAAAUGGUAACAAAAUCAUAUUGUUCACAUGAAAUGAUAAAAUAAUCAUUACACAUUUACAAGAACAGUAAAUAAAUUAUGUGAUUUUCUCGUGAGAAAAAUGAAGAAGAAAUAGCUUCUAACAAAAGUGAAUAUAAAUUAAAGGAGAAUAUAAAAUUGUUGAAAAUAUUUAUUUUCAAUAAUUCAGAAGUUCUUUGGCUAUAUAUAAUGGAAGAGAGCCUUUCCAAGGUGUGAUGCUGGCAUCAACAACGACGCGCUUAGCACAGAUACGGAACCGACACCAUCUUCUUGGUGUUUGUCUAUGCAAAAGCCUCGAGUGGCUAUGGUCUGCUUCUUCUCUGUGAGGGAAAUGGUUGAAGUUGCUAGACUAUUUCAAUUACUAUGUGAGAGGUGGCUGAAUUUUAUUGGACCUCUCUUCUUGGGCUUACUUUUUACAAUUGUUUAACAAUCUCUCUCCGAAUAUACCUUCGUCCCCUUAGCUGCUUCCCACUUUGGUAAAAUCGCCAAAGCUUUAUGUGUAAAUUGCAAGAGACAGAGGAGCAAGGCAAAAUAAGGUUAUUGGAACAAGGCGAAAGUUAUCAUUGCUAGCUGCAACUUUCCUCAUUCUUCUCACCCUCCUUCAAACCAUAUUCUCUGCUAUGUAUGCAUUUCCUAGCUAGCUUCCCCGGCAUAUUCUAUUUUAGCUUUUUUCCUCUCCAGUUUCUGUUAUGUAUUUUUACUGAAUAUGAUCUCCUUUUUGCUAUCAAGAUAGUAUACCAUACAUGCAUGUGUAGGACUUUUAUCGAUUUAAAACAUGUGUAUGCAUUUCCCCUCCUUUUUGCCACUUGUCGUCGUCGAUUCCACACUCCAACCACUAUUGUCGUUGCUGCCACAACAAGCCUUCGCCGUCGAACCCACCAAUCUAGCCACUUUCGUCGAAUAAAUUUAUUGAGAAAUAUAAGUUUUAAUGACACUUGAAAUCAGAAAAAGGGAUAUGAGGGAAUAAAAUGUGUCGUUAAAAAUAAAAAACAAAAUUCUCCGUGACACAAAUUGAGUUUCUUGACAAAAUUUUCGCAUUGUUAAUUAAUGACAUACAUUAUGUGUCAUUAAAAAUUACCCUAAUAAAAAAUCAAUGUUUUCCUUCAAUCAUACGCUUUUUGAUUUAAAACAAAUAAUUCGAAGCUUUCAUCCCACUUGUGAACAACGACCGAAAAAAACCUUACUUCAUCCCACAUCGUCGCUGUCUUUAGCUCUCUCGUAAAUGUUCUCUGGCGACGUUCCCCCCCUCUCUCGCAAAUACUCUUCACGACUUUUCCUCUCUCUCAAAUUAAGCUCUCUGCCCACCGUUUGAAGGAACUCACCAAAUUUGCAAGUAAUUGAAGAAUUCGUGGUCCAUGAGAUCAAUUAAGUCCAUUUAUGAGUUAGUUUGAUUAGAUUAUGUCACAUAUACAUGUAUUACAAUUAAGGGACACUUGCGAAAAAUGGAAAAAUAAGUUAUAAUAAUUAAGUCCAUAGAACACAUACUUUAUUAUUUGAGAAAGUGACAAAAACAAAGACCAGCUCACACAUCAAGAGGUAAAAGUCACAAAUGCCCUCGUUAUUGAUGUACAUUUGAUACACCUUAUACACGUCUGAUACACUUAAUACCCCUUGAUACACUUGAUACUUCUUACUGAUACACUUGAUACAUUUGAUAGAUACAAUUCAUGCACUCGGUACUCAUUGAUACACUCGAUACUUUUUGAUACACACCUGAAACAUCUUCAUACUGUUGGAAUUUUUUGUCCUAAAACUCGUAGUUUGUAAAUCAUAUUAUGUUCAAUGAAGUUGUUAUUGAGAAAUUAAAUAUUAUAAUCUUAAAUCCAAUAAAUCAAGUUCCAAGGCUAUUUUUAAAUAAACUUGAACUUUAUGUGUAAACAUAAACGUGGAUCAAGUUCGAGUAUAUAGCUUAAAUAGUCUAUAGUAUAUGAAAUAAAGGUUGGGCGCCUUAUUUAGAGAAACUAUGGAUGUGGCCCACUUUGUAGUACAAACGAGGUGAUCCUAAUCGUUCAUGUAGAGACAUGAAAGUGGGGCAUCCUAUGUAAAAUGUUUACAUAAGACUGAACCAUGAAUUAGUCUUUUUACGUUAUAACACCGUUUACUGUUUAAAACUGACUAUCUCAAUUAUUGAUGAUCUAGGUAACUUAGUCUUAAUCCUGAGUUAACUAUGAACUCCUGUUCACACGAGAUUAUCCUUAGAUCUGCAUAGGUGAGGGCAGCUCAUCAGCGUUGGCCCAAUAAGCCUCCCAUUUCAGGGUAAGAUCGGGUGAUAGCUGGGAACAUAGGGUACAAGAUGGAAUUCACUCCUACCCGCUUUAGGGUUAGUAGAUAGGUUGUUCUCUUAAGCACUGAAUCCAAGUCUUGAACAAGGGGCCCCACCCUCUCAUUGGCCUGAGAGGGAUUAAGUUUAUAGGUUGAACCUUAAACCAAUUGUUCAAUAGUGGAUUAGUGGGACUUAAGGAGCAAGAUGUAAUCUUGGGGUAAAACGGUAUUUUGACCCAACCAAGUUACGAGCAACCUGUGAAGGAUUAACUUACUGAUUAUGGUUUUAUCAAAUGGACACAAAUAUAUCUAUAGUGAGGGGAGUGCAACUACGGGACUUUAGUGGAAAGACCCGUUAGUUAACGAAUGUUGAUUAACUCGGUUUAAAAGAGUUUAGCUAGUUAAUCUUGAAUCGUUGGAGCCCAUGAUCUAUAGGUCCAUUAGGUUCCUCUGCUAGCUCAUAUGGAUUAAACUUAGAACAGUGUGAUGAAAUAAGUCGAAUUGUUCGAAUUGGGAGAAGAAAGGAAAACCGACAAAUAUAGUGAUAUAGUCCUCGGUCUUCUAAUUAGAAAUAGAGCUUUAUGUUUUACAUACUAUAAGUAUGAAUGCGGAUUCAUACUAAGAAGCUCGGAAUUGAUGGAAUUGGUCAAAAAUAGUAAAAAGUCAAAAUGUUGACUUUUGACUUUGAAAAGUCAAACUUUGAUCGGCCUUAUAUUCAAAUGUGAUUUGAAUUUUGGAAAAAUGAAUGCGGAUUCAUGCUCGGGAGGUUGGAAUUAGUCAAGAAGGACAAAAUGGUAAAAAGUCAAAAUAUUGACUUUUGACUAAGAAAAGUCAAAGUUUGACUUUUGACUUGAAAUAUCUAAUGACCAUUUUACCCUUGGACUAAGUUAGUGGAAAAAUCCAACAUUUUGUUGGAUAAUCCCACUAACUCUUAGUGGGAUAUGUGGCUAUAUGAGAUGUAGACACCUAGCCCACUAAGUUCCACUAAUUGUUAGUGGAACAUUAGGUGUUGAGAUUUGGCAAAUUAAUUACAUGCAUUUUUGCAUGUAAUUAGGUUAUAAAUAGGGGAGUUUUCAAAUGGUUGAAGACUUUUGCCUUUUUUAUUAUCCUCCAACAUCUCAACAAAAGAAAAAAAUUUCUACCUUCCAGUCCCAUUUUAUCUCCAUUUCUUUCGACACCAAAUUGGGUCCCACAACCCGGUUCUUUGUCCAAGAGGAUAGUAGUUGAGUACUAGUGGUGGUCUUGGUUUGAAUUGACAAGAAGGUAUCAAAGUUUUUUGAAAGCUUCAAAGGCAAUAUUUCCUAAAACCCUAACUUGAUUAGUUUAGAGUUACAUGUUAAUUGUGCCAAUUAGGGUAGAAAUUCGAUUCCUUUUUCCGUUGUGCAUGUCUUAGUUCUAUCAAUGCGAGGCUGGUGGAUUUCAUGGGUCAGGAUGGUGAUUGGAGGUGGCCGCUUGUUUCUUUGGAUUUGAUGGACAUUUGGGAUAGGAUUAUGGGAGUGAGGCCGAGUCCGAGUGUUGAGGAUAGGUGGGUUUUGGUGCUGGGGAGUCAUGAUAGUUUUUCGGUCGCCAGUGCGUGGGAGACUAUUCGUCCUCAUAGUAGUAGGGUUGGCUGGUCGGGUUUACUAUGGGGUGGGGAAAUAUUCCUAAGCACUCCUUCUGUGCUUGGUUGGCCAUCGGGGAUAGGUUGGGUAAGAGAUAGGUUAAGUCGGUGGGAUAAGUCGAUUCCUUUAUUGUGUUUACUUUGUGGAGGGAACUAUGAGUCUCGUGAUCAUUUGUUUUUUCUUGUCAUUUUGGGUGGGAGAUUUGGUCGAGGAUCCUUUUGCUUAUGUCAUCUUCUCAUAGAAUUGGUUAUUGGAGGGUUGAGUUAUCUUGGAUUUGUAAUCAGGGUAUUGGGAAGAGUGUGAGGAGAAAACUGUGGCGCCUUCACUGGUGUGCUACAAUUUAUUUCAUUUGGCAGAAGCAAAAUCAUCGUCUUCAUGGAGGUGUUGUUCUUGAGCCUAUGGUUGUAUUCCAGCUCAUUCGGUUGUGUAUUAAAGGGUGUGAUGCUUCUUGGUCGGAUGGUGUUUAUGGUCUUAUUUAAUGUUCUUUUCGUUUGUGAUUUGAAUUUUGGAAAAAUGAAUGCGUAUUCAUGCUCGGGAGGUUGGAAUUAGUCAAGAAGGACAAAAUGGUAAAAAGUCAAAAUAUUGACUUUUGACUAAGAAAAGUCAAAGUUUGACUUUUGACUUGAAAUAUCUAAUGACCAUUUUACCCUUGGACUAAAUUAGUGGAAAAAUCCAACAUUUUGUUGGAUAAUCCCACUAACUCUUAGUGGGAUAUGUGGCUAUAUGAGAUGUAGACACCUAGCCCACUAAGUUCCACUAAUUGUUAGUGGAACAUUAGGUGUUGAUAUUUGGCAAAUGAAUUGCAUGCAUUUUUGCAUGUAAUUAGGUUAUAAAUAGAGGUGUUUUCAAAUGUUGAAGAACUUUGCCUCUUUUAUCAUUUUCAUCAUCUCAACAAAAGAAAAAAAGAAACCUUCCAAUUCCAUUUUAUCUCCAUUACUUUCUACACCAAAAUUGGGUUCCACAACCCGGUUCUUUGUCUAGAGGAUAGCAGUUGAGUACUAGUGGUGGUCUCUGUUAGAAUUGGUAAGAAGAUAUCGAACCUUUUGAAAGCUUCAAAGGUAAUAUUUCUUAAAACCCUAAUUUGAUUAGUUUAUGGUUACAUGUUAAUUGUGGCAAUUAGGGUAGAAAUUCGAUUAUUUUUCCGCUGUGCAUGACUUAGUUCUAUCACAUACACAUAAUACUUCUCGUUCCAUAUAAUACUUCUCGUUACACUUGAUUCUUCUUGAUACACUUGAUACCCCUGAGGCCUUGAUACACUUGAUUAGUUUGAUACACUUGAUACACCACUAAUAAACUUGUUAUACUUCAUUGGUACACUUAACAAAUUUGAUAUGUUUGAUGUACAUGCACUACAAGAAAUUUACCCUUUGUCGAUGACAAAUAUCGUCAGUAAAUCUUCAAAAACUAAUCGACUUUUCUUUUGCCAACGAAAUUAAGCUGUCAACACACACGUCACGUAGGUCUGUCGGAAGAUCCUCUAUCGAUGGCAAAAAAUAAACUGUCAGCAAAAAUAGGAACUAUCGAUGAAAUUGAACCAUCAGUGUGCGUGUGUGUGUGCGCUGUGCGCAUGUCCACGUGUGCUUGGGUGUGUGUAUGCACACAUGUGUACGUGAGUAGGUGUGUACUGUUUGCGUGUGCAUUUGUGUGCGUGCGGUUUGGUGUGCGUGUGCAUGUGUGCGUUUGUGUGUGUGUCCUACGUUCGUGUGUGUGUGUGUGCGUGUAUGGGUGCACGCGCGUGCAAGUGUAUGUAUGUGUGUGCGCGUGUGAUUGUGUGUGAAUAAGUUGAUAUUUUUUAAUGUUGAGUUUCUCCCAAUUUUAAAACAAUAAUUUAAUUAUCUUGAUAUUCAAGCCAUUAAUAUUAUUGUGAGAUAAAGAUAGUGAAUAAGUUGAUAUUUUUUAAUUUUGAAAUUCAAUUAAAGUUAUUUUGAUACAAAGUCUAUUGCUGAGAUUAUCAAAUUCUGAAAAAUAAUAAUUUUGUUAUUUGAAAUUCAAUUUGGUUAUUUUGAAAUUCAAAUUCAAUUAGGUUAUUUUGAAAUUAGUAAGAUUAAAUAAAGUUAAAGUCUUGAAUCCAUUAGUUGAGUCCGAGAUAUUAAGAAAAAAGUAUGAUAUGAGUUUAUGUAUCUUUUUCAGGUAAAAAAUAAUUAAAAGCUGAUAAAUGCAUAAUAUAAAUUAAUUACAACAUAGAAACAAAAUAAUUUUAGUUGGAGAAUGUGGAUAUUUUGGUAUUUUAUAAAAUAUUAUGCACGUGCAAAAAAUGUUAUUUGCUAAAAUUAAAAAAAAAUAGUUUUGCCAUUUUUCAAAAUGACCCAUAAAAAUGUUUAUAUCUCUUAUGACAGAGUGUAUAUCUACUGGUUCAUAUUCGACCUGUUUGUUGCUAAAUAAUUGGAUAAAAUCGCAUUAUAUUGAAAUAAUUACACGAAUGACACUUUUAAGCCAAUAUUGAUAGAAAUUAUAGUUUAAUUAAUGUUAUUAAGUCAAAUGAACAUGGUUUAAAAGUCCUUCUAAACACAAUUAAUGUAGUUGUUUUUUAAUUUUAACUCAUUUAUACAUCUUUAUGCAUAUGUGCGUGUGUACGUGUGCGUGUGUAGGUAGGUGUGCGUAUGUGUAUGUGCGUGCGUUCGUGCGAGUGUCCGUGUGCAUGUGUGUGUGGGUGUGUGCAUGUUUGUAUGUGUUUGUGCGUGCGUGUGUGUGCGCGGGCUAUUGCGUGUGGUUGGUGUGUGUGUGUCGCGUGUGCGUAUGUGUUUACGUGUGUGCGUUUGUGCGUACGCGUGUGUGCGUUUGUGCAUGUGUGUGUGCUUGUGCGCGUGUGGAUAGGUGUGUGUGUGUGCAUGCGUGCGCGUGUGCAUGUGUGGUGCGUGCGUUCGUGCGUCUGUGGGUGUCUGUGUGUAGGUGUGCGUGUGCGCGUGUGUGUAAGUGUGCAUGUGUACGUGUGUGCGCAGUGCUUCUAUGCUUGUGUGCGAACAAGUUAAUAUUUUUUAAUGUUGAGUUUCUUCCAAUUUUAAAAUAAUAAUUUAAUUAUCUGAUAUUCAAGGCAUUAAUGUUAUUUUGAGAUAAAGAUAGUGAACAGGUUGAUAUUUUUUAAUUUUGAAAUUCAAUUAAGGUUUUUUAAUAUCUAUCGUUGAGACUCUCAAAUUCGAAAAAAUAAUUUUGUUAUUUUGAAAUUCAAAUUCAAUUAGGUUAUUUUGAAAUUAGUAUGAUUGAAUAAAGUUAUUAAUAUGUUGAAUUAAUUAGUUGAGUCUCGAGAUAUUAAGAAAAAUAUUAUGAUAUGAGUUGAUGUAUCUAUUUCAAGUAAAAGAUAAUUAAAAGCUGAGAAAUGCAUAACAUAAAUUAAUUACAAUGUAGAAACGAAAUAAUUACAGUUGAAGAAUGUUGAUAUUUUGGUAUUUUAUAAAAUACCAUGCACGUGCAAAAAAUGCUAGUUGCUAAAAUUCAAAGGAAAAAGUAGUUUUGUCAUUUUUCAAAAUGACCCUAAAAACGUUGUUAUGUCUCUUAUGACAAAGAGUGUAGAUCUACUGAUCCAUAUUCGAUUUGUUUUUUGUUGGUAAAAUUGGAUAAGACCGCAUUAUAUUGAAAUAAUUACACGAAUGACACUUUUAAGCCAAUAUUGAUAGAAAUUAUAAUUUAAUCAAUGUUAUUAAGUCAAAUGAACAUGGUUUAAAACUCUUUCUAAACAUAAUUAAUGUAUUUGUUUUUUAACUUUAAUUAAUUUACACUUCUUUGUGCGUGUGUGCAUAUGUGCGCGUGUGUGCGUGUGUGGAUGGGUGUGUGUGCGUGCGUGUGCGUGCGUUGUGCAUGUGUGCAUGUGUGCGAACAAGUUGAUAUUUGUUAAUGUAAAAUUUCUCCCAAUUUUAAAAUAAUAAUUCAAUUAUCUUGAUAUUCAAGCCAUUAAUGUUAUUUUGAGAUAAAGAUAGUGUACAAGUUGAUAUUUUUUAAUUUUGAAAUUCAAUUAAAGUUAUUUUGAUACAAAAUCUAUCGUUGAGAUUCUCAAAUUUCGAAAAAUAAUAAUUUUGUUAUUUUGAAAUUGAAAUUUAAUUAGGUUAUUUUGAAAUUAGUAAGAUUGAAUAAAAUUAAAAUCUUGAAUCAAUUAGUUGAGUCCCGAGAUAUUAAGAAAAAAGUUAUGAUAUGGGUUGAUGUAUCUUUUUCAGGUAAAAAAUAAUUAAAAGCUAAUAAAUGCAUAACAUAAAUUAAUUACAACGUAGAAAUGAAAUAAUUACUGUUUGAGAAGGUGAAUAUUUUGGUAUUUUAUAAAAUAUCAUGCACACGUGCAAAAAAUUCUAUUUGCUAAAAUUUAAAAGAAAAAGUAGUUUUGCCAUUUUUCAAAAUGACCCAUAAAAACGUUGCUAUAUCUCUUAUGACAAAGAGUGUGCAUCUACUGGUACAUAUUCGACUUGUUUUUUGUUCGUAAAAUUGGAUAAGACUGCAUUAUAUUGAAAUAAUUACAGUAAUGACACUUUUAAACCAAUAUUGAUAGAAAUUAUAAUUUAAUUAACGUUAUUAAGUCAAAUGAACAUGGUUUAAAAGUCUUUCUAAACACAAUUAUUGUAGUUAUUUUUUAAUUUUAAUUCAUUUAUACAUCUUUGUGCAUAUGUGCGUGUGUGCGAGUGCGUACGUGUGUGCGUAUGCACGUGUCCACGUGUGCGUGGGUGUGUGUGUCUACGUGUGCGUGGGUGUGAGUGUCCACGUGUGCGUUUGUGCGUGUGUGGGUGUGUGUGCGUAUACGCGCGCGUGCGUGUGUACGUGAGUGGGCGUGUGCGCUUUUUGUGCUUUUCUUCCAAUUUUAAAAUAAUAAUUUAAUUAUCUUGAUAUUCAAGUUAUUUUGAGAUAAGGUUAUUUUAAUAUAAAAUCUAUCGUUGAGAUUCUCAAAUUCUAAAAAAUAAUAAUUUUGAAUUUUGAAAUUCAAUUUGGUUAUUUUGAAAUUCAAAUUCAAUUAGGUUAUUUUGAAAUUAGUAAGAUUGAAUAAUGUUAUUAAAAUGUUGAAUCAAUUAGUUGAGUCCGAGAUUUUAAGAGAAAAGUUAUGAUAUGAGUUGAUGUAUCUAUUUCAAGUAAAAAUUAAUUAAAAGUUGAUAAUACAUAACAUAAAUUAAUUAUAACGUAAAAACAAAAUAAUUAUAGUUGGAGAAGGUGAAUAUUUUGGUAUUUUAUAAAAUACCAUGCACGUGCAAAAAAUGUUGUUUGCUAAAAUUGAAAAGAAAAAGUAGUUUUGCCAUUUUUCAAAUUGACCCCUAAAAACGUUGGAUUUUUGUGUAUUCCCUUGGGCUUUCUUGUUCAAUAUUUAGUCAAAUUGCAGUAUACAUAAAAUUUGUGUUUGUUACGUCACAAGAUUUCAUUCACUAUUUGUGUCUGUAUUAUUUUAUAUUUUAUACAGGAGACUAUUCGUUGACCCCAAAAUUACAAGGUUUCAUGUUGCUUACUGGAUCAUUAAUGAUUCGUCUCUAUCUUUGGCUCAUCGAGUGGUGGAGUUGGAACCCCCUGAAAGUGUAGAUUUAGACUCUCUACCGUUGUCAAGAGCUGUUAAGUAUGCAAAAAUGGCCUUGAGAAAUCCUAUAAACUCUCUGAACAGGAGACAUUCUAGUGUAAGAAGAAAUGCUCAAGUCCUUGAAGAAAUUGAGGACACAACUCCAAUUCCUAGCAUGCUUUCUCCCUAAGACUAUGCUGGUCCUAGUCGGGGAGUGGCAUUUACAUCCCAGAAAGACACACAUGUAUCACCUCGUGUUGGCACUUCCAUUGCAAUGCACAACUCUGACAUAUAUAGUGCCGACAUUUCCUUCCUUAAGCUUGAAAAAAGGUGAUUUGAUGUCCAUAAAAAAUUAACUGAGCAGUUAGAUAUUUUCUAAUACGUAUCUCACGUAAUUUGAUGCUCAUUGAUACUGCAUUACUGUGUCAGGAACGUGUUGAUGUAAAAUCUUUCAGUUUUGAUGGAUCUUAUUACAAGCUUUCAACUCUUCUUAGCACGACUUCUGACAGAACAAAGGUUUGAUAUAUCUUUACACGAUCGCAUAUCACAUAUGAACGAUCGCAUAUCCCAUUGAAAUAUCGAUCACCCUUGGUAAAACAACCGUUUAGAUAUUCUACACGAUUGUUUGCUUAAGGAUACACGAUCAUUUUGUAACUAUUUUUUUUAUUAUCCUUUUUUCUUUCUAUACUAGAAUCAGAAUCAAUUGUUUGAUGAUAUUAACAACAUGUAUGAUGAUCUUCGUGAUGAUUCUAGUCAUCACAAUCUGGACAAGAAUGAUGACCAUCAAAAUAACAAACAUGUGAUCAUCCAUGAGAAUCCAUCUGUUCAAGAGUCACAUCUUCAAGAAUCUACUGUAGAACUCAACAGUUAGUGUUUAAUUCAUUAGUUACUGCUUUAUAUUGUUUAAAAUUGCUUAGAUUAUAAAUAAACAACAAUAAUUUUUUUUCUUUCUGUGUGGAACAAAAAUGAACGCCUCAACAUCAAGAGCAGUCAGGCAGUGAUAUUAGCAUAUAUGGCAGAGAUGCACAUUUGAUAUUAACUAUAAGUAAUAUAGCAGAAAAUAUGGAAGGUCAUACUCAAACAGAAAAGGGACUGCUAGAAAUGAUUGAAAAUCUUCCGUUGGUAAGCCAACCACUUCCACUUUGUGAGAUGCUACCAUUAACUACUGUCAAAGGUCUUGCAUUAGUUUAAUUGGUAUGUGUGCCCUAAAGGGAUAAAAGCUCUUGGCAGUGAAAGACUUACAAAACCAUUCAUCAAUUUUAAUUUGAAAAUUCCAAAAUACCAGUACAUUGACAAUAUUUAGAAUCAAAGUUCUAAAUAAAGAACUAAAUAUGCUUUAAAUUAAAAGAUACAUAGAACUUACUCUUGUUGACGUCUCUGAUUCUAUAAUCCACCGAACUGAGGACACCACCCGUUGGAGACCUUCCUAUCUUCGAAGAUGAGAUUGGUUGUGAAAACAAUUGGAAUGAAAAAAAAAAUUAGAGAGAAACUAUGUAACACCCCCAAUAUCAAGGUAUUUCUCUCAAGCUAAAUUUUGCAACCCCAUCUCUUUCUCCUUCACUCUUCCUCUUCCCCGUGCCCAACUGCCGCCUGCCUCCCUUAGCCAUUUUAUAUUACUCUUGGACGUCAGCCGGCCACGCCGCCACCGAUCGCUUCGUCGCAGUUGAAGCCGAAGCACCGUUCCUCGUGAGUUCGAACUCUCGGCAUCGCGUCUCACCUCUGUUUUCCAGCCAAGUUGUGAUUCAUUCGCGCGUAGCUCCUUCGACGUUUGCACCAUCACAUUCUUCUCCAGGUGAUGAGGAACGUCACCGAUUGACCUAUCAUCUCACUGGCAUUGUUACUUAGUUGAAGCAGCCGUCGACCAGACCUGAGCCCGUUGCGUCUGCCGAAGUGCUGUCGCGCGGCUCUUCACCUUCCAGCCAUGGGUUGUAAGCUAAAGUUUGUUUUUCGUUUGUUGAUUAGAUCUGAUCUAUUACACGCGUCGAUUCCAGUUAUUCGAAGUUGUUGCCCCCAUUUUACUCUAAUUUUUAGGAUUUUUUGUGGUAAGUUGUAUUGGUGAGUGUGGUGGUUUUACAUUGUAAUUAUCCUUGGGUUGUAGUUUGGAUAAUUAGUUAAAUUGUUAAUUGAUUCAUGAAGGUAGCGUUUGAGUUCUUUGGAUUCAACAUGGUUAAGGAGCUUAACUGACUUGAAAGUAAGGGAUUUUCUACUGGACUCAAUAACAAAAUUAAGAUGUAUUGACUAAUUAAGAUGUAUUGACUGUAUGGACUGUAAUAUUAUAUGUGAACUGAGUAGGGAUUACUGUUAUGAUGUAUGUUUGGACAUUGACUUAAAGUUUAAUGUUUACAGUGUUUGACUGGGAGAAAUUUAUAUAUAUGUGUGCAUGGAUUGAUGUGGACUUGUGGUUAAGUGUAUGUUGUGACUGUCUGGUUAUGUAUAUGUACAAACAUAAGGAUGUGGAAACGACUGAGCCUCGUAAAUGUUGCUUAUAUAAAGUGUGGAUUUGAUUAGUAGAUUGAUUGUUGUUUAGACUGAAUGUAUGAUCUACUGUUAUGGUUGUGUGCUUGUGAACGGAAGAGACAUCAUGGUUGUGCCCUUGGAGACUGAGGAGGAGGUUAUGAUUAUUUAGUUUGUUAACUGAUGAAAUGAUAUGUUUUUACUGACCUUGGGCUAAAUUAGAGCAAGACGGCUGUUUGGGGUUAAAUAAGGAGUUUAUGUAAUGAGAAUGUUUAACUGAAAUGUGAACGACUGUUAAGAUGUUUAGAAUGGACUGAGGGGAAAAAUUGUUAGCUUUUAUUGGGAUGUGUGCCUUGUAGGUGUCCCACGGGAUCACCAAUUAUUCUGCACCCUUCGGGAGCAUUAGACUGAUAGGUGUUUCUGCAGAACACUAGACUGAAAUGUACGUCCCUCGGGGCGUUAGACUGAAAUGUGCAUCCUACGGGAUCACAAGACUGCGACUGUACAGGGUGUCCCAAUAGAAUGUUAACAAUUUAUUUUCCCCUGACGGGACCAGUAGAGGGUCUCUUACUGGGUAUUUUAUACUCACCCUCCUUAUGUUUAAUUUUUCAGGCAAAGGUAAUAAAGGCGGUAAACCGGCGAGGGGCAGGAAGGAAGCGUGAUUGCCAUAGGGGAUAUUUUAAUUUGCUUCCGCUUAAUGUUUUGUUUCUCGUGUUUUGUUUUAGUACUUGAGAUUGUUUAGAAAAUUUUAUAGUUGAACUGCAUUCAUGAAUUGGUAAACCUUUCUUGAAAGUGUUGGUUAUUUUAAAUAGGGCCCAUAUAUAAAUUUUUGCUUUCUUUGAGACUUUGAAAUUAUUUGAAAUUGAGAUUUUGUGUAAACUCAGGUCUUUGUUUGAAAUUAAUGACUUCGACUUACUUAGAAAAGUUGGGUCGUUACAAAUGUAUAUUAUGCCAGACUGAUAUAGAAGUAGAUACGAUGGAUAAUGUAUUUGUAAACUGAGAAAGGUGUUAUGUAUAUAUAUAUAUAUCUUGACUGUCUGGUGUGUUGUUAUAGUAUCAACUGAUUUUGUGAUAGAUUGAAUAGAUUGAACGUAAGUGUGUUAAGUUGGAUUGAUGAUAUGAUGGAGUAGUUUGACUAUACUAGGAAUGGAUUGAUUAAAUGUUUAUGACAGACUAAGGGAAAAUUGUUAGCUUUGUCGAUUGGGUAGUGUGCCUUGCAGGUGUCCUAUGGGAUCACCACCUGUUGUGCAUUCUUCGAGAGCACUAGAAUGACAUGUGCAUUCUUCGAGAGCAAUAGACUGACAUGUGCAUUCUUCGAGAGCACUAGACUGAUAUGUGCUUUCUGCAGAGCACUAGACUAAUAUUUGUGUCCUUUAGGGCAUUGGACUGAUUAUGUGUAUUCCUACAUGAUCACAAGACUUUUAAAGUGCAGGGCACCUCCAAUAGGAAGUUAACAAUUUUAUUUUUCUUCUAACAGGAUCAGUAGUACUGGGUAUGUUUAUACUCACCCUUUUAUGUUUAAUCUUUUUCCGUGAAACUGCCAUAGGGAAAUGUCCUUCAAAUUGCUUCAACUUUAUAUUUUUUUUUAUUUGGUUUUCUUUAGUAAUUGAGACUGUUUUGGGUUUCAUGAUUGAACGACUUUUAUGUUCUUGAACAUUCUUUAUUAUCGAUACUUUUACACUUUCAAAAUUUUAUUUGAAAUAGAGCCCGAAUAAAAACUCUUUAAUGUUGUUAAAAAAUAUAUUUUUUUAAAUUAUAAAGUCUUAUGGUUAAAGGACGAAUCUAGUCUUAAAGUAAUAACUUCAGCUUAAUUCGAAAAAUUAGGUCGUUACAAUCUAUUUUGCAGAAAAGAAAAUCAUCGAUUUUAUUUUCGUUAAGAAAAGUUGUUUUUCUUCUACAUAUUUAUAACUCUUUUUCUUUCAUUGAGUAGGAGACGGGUAGGAGAAAAUCAUAGGAUUCUAUUAAAUUGAUGUGUGAAUUGAUGUGGAUUGCCGAAAGUAUACAUGUGAAUGACUGAAAUUAUGCUUAUGUGUACAUGAUGAUAUUAAUAGAUUGUGCUGUAUAAAGAUUUGGAUGUGAACUAGUGAAUUUGAUUCGGUUGGAUGUGGAUUAUACUGAACUGUGGUUUGCGCUGGUAAAAAUGAGGGGUGUUGUGACUUUGUGGUUUACUUGACGAAUGUAUUAAAAUGUUAUCAACGACCUUCGAACAUAAGUGAGAUAGGUUGACUGUUAGAAUGUUGAGUGAAAGAACUUUAUAUUUUGAAGUAACUGAAAGAUGUCAUAAAUUACCGUAAAUAUGGUUAGAAUGGAUUGAGGGGAAAAAUUGUUAGUUUUACUAGGAUGUAUGCCUUGUAGGUGUCCUACGGGAUCACCAAUUUUUAUGCGACCUUCGGAGAAUUAGACUGAUAUGUGUUUCUGCAGAACACUAGACUGAAAUGUACGUCCCUCGGGGCGUUAGACUGAAAUGUGCAUCCUAUGGGAUCACAAGACUGCGACUGUAUAGGGUGUCCCAAUAGAAUGUUAACAAUUUAUUUUCCCCUGACGGGAGGGGACCAGUCGAGGGUCUCUUACUGGAUAUUUUUAUACUCACCCUCCUUAUGUUUAAUUUUUCAGGCAAAGGUAAUAAAGGCGGCAAACCGGCGAGGGGCAGGAAGGAAGCAUGACCGCCACAGGGAACACUUUAAAAUUUUGCUUCCGCUUAGUGAUUUAUAGUAUUAUUUGUAUUCGAACGUGAGACUGUUUAGAAAAUUUUGAGGUUUUAAAGUAUUCAAAGAUUUGAAACUUUUUAGUUUUAAAUUUUCAUGUGAAUUUUAGUAAUUUAAAACUGGGGCCCAAACAACAAAAUAAAUUUUGUUCUUUUGAGGUUUUAAAUUUUAAUUAAACUCGGUCUUUUGUCAAAAUUAACGAUUUUGACAUAGUUAGAAAAGUCGGGUCGUUACAAUUAUAAUGUAUGACUAUAUAUUAUACUAAUUAUACUAAUUUCCAAAGUAAAUUUGAAUAUUUCAAAUUAGAACCAAUAUAAAUAAAUCACAUUAUCAUUUUGUAUCAUCCAUUACUUUGUAUUUAGUCAUACUAAUUGGAUCAACCUAAUACAUAAAACAAAUAUAGAAAAAUUAAAAAAAAACAUGCACAAAUAGAGACAAAUAGACAUUAAUAGCUAUCUAUCUCUAUCUAUCUAAAACAAGCACACAUAAAUUGUCCUAUUUCUCUAUCGAAUGGACAAAAAUAGCAGUCUAUUUAUAAAUACCUGAGAUACAAACAUUAAAAAAAAAAAAAAACCUUACCAAUAAAAUUCUUGACUUUUCAUGUUAUUCUAAAUGCAACACGUUCUCAGCCCAAGAAGUCAAACAACUCUUCAUUGUAAAAGUAGCUUUACUUCUUUCAUCAAACCACUUUUGCAAUACAUCUCUAAUUGAACUAAGCAUGGUAGCUACAGGUAGUUCUCUAAGAUCUUUAAAAAAUAAAUUUACACUGUCUACACAAUUUGAUGUCAUCAUUCUAUAUAUGAAACUCAUUAUACCUGAGAUAGAUUCAACCAAUUUAUCAAAGAACCUUGGAAUCAACAUGUAUGAUUUAACUGUGUCACCUUUUAAUAUCUUUACUAUAUGUUCUUUUGCCCUCCAAGCCUUCUGCUAACUUAUAUUAACUCCAAGAUUUGUACAUGCCUUAUGCACAAUUGCUUUUGGAAUGAAACGAUUAGUAGACAUGAACCUGAACUCAUCUAUCAAGCAACUGUCAAUUACUGUUGAAGAAGCUUGCAUGUGACAACUAGUAUACAAUGAACAGUCAUGUUCAUAAAUGUAUUUUCAUAGCAUCCACAACUCGCUCUUCUUAUAACGAGAUGUCCUAAUAAACCAUUUGCACUCUUCUAGUAGGCAUCUAAAUUCAAGAGACCUCAAAUUUGAUAUUGUAGUUCUAAAUUGAAAGUUGUUAUUCACUUCUAUUAUGCCAAAACACUUUGAAAGCACUUCUUUACUUUCAAAUAAACUAUUUUCCUUCAAAUCACCAUGAUAUGAGAUGUCUCUUAUAAUUUCAUCAUUUGAAACAUAAGAAGAAGAACCUACAUCAAUGACAUAUCAAUUCUAAAACUACUAGAACCUUCUAAAAAAAUUAACAGUUACAUGAGCAACUAAUGGAUGUAUUAGUUGCAUCUUUAGCAAAAGAUAAAUACCAAGCCACAUCAUUGUCUUUCUUUACUGGCACCACAGUUGGACCUUGCUUUUACCAAAAUCAAGUAAAACAGAUAAUUCUACUUAUCCAUCCAAUUGAAUCUGUUCACAUAUUAAAUCAACUAGAGAAUUAAAGCUGACUCGGACACUACCAAAAUUUCAGCAACUAAGUAAUUCUCAUAAAUAUUACAUCCAUUCCAUUGACCUCCAUAAAAAACAACAAUAGGAAAAGACAUUAUAAUCUGUAAAAAAAAUAAAUAAAAUAAAAUUAAGUAUUUAAUUGUGAUAGAAAGAAAUAGAUAGACAUAGAUAUACAUUUAUUACUGAAUAAAAGAAUAAAAUGUACAAAAUGAUAAUACUAAACACAAUGCAAGAAUAAGUAAACGAUCGUGCAAUGAAAUAAUAUACAUUAAACGAUCCUAUUAACCGUGAUAAACGACCAUUUAACAACGGUAAAUGAUAAUAUUGAUUAAAAUAAAUUAUCGUGUUGACAUGGGUACACGAUCAUAUGAUAUUGGUGAUCGUAUUGAAUAGUGUAAACAAUCGUCUUGUUAUCGGUACACGAUCGUGUUAAUAUUUGUAAGUGAUUCUAUUGAUAGUGGUAACUGAUCGUGUAAUUCCAUGUAAAUUAUCGUCAAAAACUUUAAACUAUCGACUUUAUAAUGAAGUACAUAAUUCUUACAUUAAUACUUAAAAUUUGUUGUAACGACCCAACUUUUCUAACUAAGUUGAAGUCAUUAAUUUUGACAAAGAGACCUUGAUUGACACAAAAUAUAGUAAAAUUCACUUGAAAUCAUACGAUCAAAGAAAACAAACUUAAGUUUGGGCCCUAUUUCAAAUAACCAAAACUUUAAAAGUACUAUUUACAAAACAACAGUUCGUAAACUCAGUUCCAUCACAAAAUUUUUAAAAAACCUCAUAUACAAAGGAAAAACAAGAAACAUAAAGCGGAAGCAUUUGAAGGACAUUCCCUUAUGGCAAUAACGUCUCCUUCUUGUCCCUCGUUGGUCUACCUCCUUUGUUACCUUUGCCUGAAAUAGUUAAACAUGAAAGGAUGAGUAUAAACAUACCCAAUAAGAGACCCGCUAUUGGUCCCGUUAGGGGAAAAAGAAACUGUUAACUUCCUAUUGGGGUACCCUGCACAGUCACAGUCUUGUGAUCCCGUAGGAUACACAUAAUCAGUCUAACGCCUCAAAGGACGCAUAAAUCAGUCUAGUGUUUCGCAGAAACACAUAUCAGUCUAAUGCUCCCGAAGGAUGCACAUAUCAGUCUAGUGCUAUCGAAGGAUGACAUAUCAGGUGGUGAUCCCGUAGGACACCUGCAAGGUAACUACCCAAUAGAAAUCUAACAAUUUUCCCCUCAAUCCAUUCUAAACAUCUUAACACUAUUCAUAGUACAAUCCAGCUACUUCAACAUAUAAUCCUUUCACUUAACACCCUAAUAGUCAACCUAUCUCACUUUAGCCCAAUGUCCGCCAGUAACAUAUCAAUACAUCAGUCAAUCAAACUAUAUAGUCAUAACACCCCUCAAUUCACAGUACACAACCAUACUUUAGUAUAACCUACACCCAAUCUAAACGACAAUCACAAGUUCACAUCCACAUUCCAUACAAACACAAUCUACAAUUGUCGUCCUGUCUACAUCCAUACAUAUAUAUAUAUAUAUUCCCAGACAAUCACAAUAUGCAUUCAACAUCAAGUCUACAUCAAUCCAUGUAUAUAUAUAUUUUUUCAGUCAUUCACAGUAUACAUUCAACACCAAGUCUACAUCCAUACGUGUAUAUAUCGUUUCAACAUCUUUACUCAAUCGGAGGUAACUAUACAGACAGCACAAUUCAAAACUAUAGGUGAGUCCAGUAGUAGAGAAUCCUUACCUUAUAACCUUACUUAAGCUUCUUUUUCAAACUAAAGUGCAACGAACCGACCUAAACAUAAUUGAAGAGAAAUCAAUCACUUCCACAAACAAUUUAAUCCAUUCAAUUCACUCUAUAUGUAAAUUCCAUAACUUACCCAAAUUGUGGAGAAUCAAAUUCUAACGGAGACGGAUCGGUGCAACAAAUAACCAACAAUUCAGAUCUAAACAUACAUGGCGUGACGAACCGGAGUGACUCGGGCUAACGGUGAUGCGACGAUAGGACAAAAUUUGCUUGACGUUCGGUGUAGGUGGAAGACGGUGGUGAAGUUGAUUGGAGAAGGAAAAGAGAAGGAAGAAAAGAGAUGGUGGUGUGGCCGUAGGUUGAAGAGGAAGAGAAAGGAAGAAGAUGAAUAGGAAAAGAGAAAAAAUAAGAUUAAAUAUUAUAAAUAUAUAUAUAUGAAAUAAAAAAAAAAGUAGAAUAACGAUGAAAUUUUGAAAAAUGAAAAUUUGGAUAAAGUAAAAUUUGAAAAUAAAGAUUUGAUACAAAUCCAAUAUUUGGAGAAAAAAAAGUGUGUUAAGAUAAUGUAGGAGAAAAUCAAUAUUUAUGCUAAAAUUUUGCAUAUUUCAAAAUUAGUUACAGUUUAACUAAAAAGCAGGCGAGGGAUUUUAGGGUUAAUGAAAAUUCAAAACACGUGAAAUGCUCAUGUUUGCUAUUCUUCUAAUAAAAUUUUGCUAUUUUCUCAAAUGAGUGUAAUCCAACAAAAUGAAGUUGUGUGUGUGAACAAAAAUGAGGUAAAUAGCUUUGAUGAUGAUGGCAAAUGGGUAAAGAAAAUCUUAUCUUAUUCUUCACUUUUCAUUUAAUUGACAAAAAGUAACCAACCAUAUGAAGGGAAAAACAAAAUGCUCUCUCAGUUACUUUACUCAUUUCUUUGUUCUUUGUGUGGGAGAUAUUUGAAAUGGAGAUGAAGAUCAAAAUGAAAGAGAGAUUAUGCAUACACUGUGAGAAGCACACAGAAAAAUUGAAAAUAAAUUGAAAAGAAGAGAGAGAUAAGUCUGAGGGAGAAAUAUUCAUUUCCUUUUCAAAGUGAAUUGCAAAGAAAUUUUCUCAAAUUUAAAAGAAAGGAGAAAUAUACAAAGUCAGCCACCGCUUCUUCUCCCUUCAGUUAGCAGUUUUCGUCUCCCUCUCUUCUAUUAUUAAAAUAAAUAAAUAAAAUAUCACAACCCGACUUAACACAAACUAUUUACUCCAACUUUUUCAACUACAAAUUUAAUUUCUCAACUUUUAAACUAUUUUAAACUUACAAACCGGCGAGGGCAGGAAGGAAGCGUGACCGCCACAGGGGACUCUUUAAAAUUUUGCUUCCGCUUAGUGAUUUAUAGUAUUAUUUGUAUUCGAACGUGAGACUGUUUAGAAAAUUAUGAGGUUUUAAAGUAUUCAAAGAUUUGAAACUUUUUAGUUUUAAAUUUUAAUGUGGAUUUUAGUAAUUUAAAACUGGGCCCAAACAAACAAAAUAAAUUUUGUUCUUUUGAGGUUUGAAAUUUUAAUUAACCAAGGUCUUUUGUCAAAUGUUAAUGACCUCGACUUAGGUAAAAAGUUGAGUCGUUACAAAAACCGUUAGUUGGCUACGUUUUGGAAGCUCGAUGACUAAAAUGGAUGUUUUGAAAGUUCUAAGGCUAAAAUGGAAUUUAAAUCAACAUAAUAGUAAGUUCAAGAUCAAAGACAAGCUAAACAAUAAAAUGUUACGACCAGAAAACAAUCUAAUCAUAAUUAGAAACAUGGAUGUAUGUAUUUGUACACCAAAUCACAAAAAAUAACUCCAGAUUUCGAUCUAGAGACAAUUAAAAACUUGAACAAAUUUGAUAAUUAAAGAAACAUGGAGAUGGCCAUAUGUAUGGAACACUCAGAGAACACGUGUUGAACACUAGUUAGUACAGUAGAUGUGUUAGACAACAAGUAUUCCAAUGCAAUAAAGGUCAAGAUUGGUCACACACAAUAUUAAACUCUUGGCUUUGAAUAAGUUUUGAGUGAAGGACAAGCUUAGUUUUAAGCAUAUAAAUACAUAAACUUAUUGACUUUGAAUUUCUAUAUAAAUAUGAUACAUACUUUAUAAAUUAUAUAUAUUAAAACUUUGUUCUAGCACUAUCCUAUAUUUUUUUUAAAAAAAAUGACACGUCACCAUGUCUAUGAUUUAUUGACCCAUGUCUAGAAUUUGUAUACGUGCUUGUUUGUUGAGAACUUCACGUCUUCAUUAGAUGGGAUGAUAGCCAUAUUAUAGUGGUUGUAUAUGUAAUAUAGAGAACCAAACCUAGUACUCGAGAUUUGUAUAAUAACAGAGAACUUACAUUUCCACCGGCUGACUUGACUAUCAGGGAUAGAGUUUUAGGUGGUGGUUGAGCGUGAGCUGAUAUGCAAAUAUCAUACCCUUCAAAUAAAACUCCAGGACAUGCUUUUGCCCUGAGAACUGCAGCUUUUAAGCUGGCUCGAUACUUCGAUAUGUAGUCAUCAUCAUUUAGUAUGUAAGGCAACUCGUCUGCAGAUCAUAAGGAAUUAAUCAAUCACAAAAAUUAGGUAGGAUGAAAAACAUAAGUGGAAGAAAAUACAUUACGCUUUGAUACUAGCAAGCCAUUCGAACUUACCAACAAAUAUGCCUUCCUGGUAGCUUUCCUUUAACCAACUGGAGGAGACAAUCCAAGCUCUGAGUAAUUUGCAAUUAACUUGCAAUUUUAGUAACAAGAUAUAGUAAAAAUUAUGAGCAAGAGCACACUGAUAUGCUUGAAGCCACAUGGUAAUGCAUAUGCUCGAUAAUCAUUGAGAACAUUAACAGGAGAAAAUAAAGUUAAGAACAGUAGCUUGAAGAAUAAAAAACAUUCUACAACAUAAAAUCUUCAAAAACACAUUGCUUAAAAUCAAGUUUACUAAUAUAAAAGGUAAGAUAUUACGUUCCACUCUCCACACUACUAAAGUUCAACAUUUCACAUAUUGAAAGGUAAAGAAUAUAACUGAAAAAAGCAUAAAUAGGUAAGAAAAAGCAUAGAGAAAUGCAAAAGAAUCCUUGGCUUUGAUAUAUUGAAAGGUAAAGAAUAUCAAACAUAGAUGCCCGGGAGAAGAACUCCUACAAUACACACUUAACGCAGAUUAUCAUUCGCUAACAUGGGACCUUCUAGAGGAAUUCUGUUAGGAUACUUCCUAACAAGAACAAGAUCUUAAUUUAUUAUAAUGAACUAUAAGAAAAUACAAGAUAAAACCAAGUAUAAGGCACUUGGAACCUCCCUCUUGAGUACACUCACCAAGCCCUAGAUCACUCCCCAGAAUUCUCCCCUCAUUACCCUCCCUCCAUUUAUAAUAAGAUGUAACCACCACUUACAUAAUAACUACUAGUAACUUUCUAAAUAUCUAAUUACCCUUAUACCCCUAACCUUAUACUAAUCUAGGUAUCUAACAUUACCCGAUCCUUCAAAAAACCUUGUCCUCAAGGUGUGCUUACAAACAUGAUCAAGGCCCCUUUCUCUUUUUUUCUCUUUGUAAUUGCAAACAAUCCCCAGCAUUCUGCUCUUCAAUGUUGAAAAAGAAAUCCUCCCCUUCGGCUUUGAAAAAAUCUCGAUUCCAAUAAGGUCCAUUGACUGCAGCCCACAAAGCAGCCCAAUGUACUUGAAUUUUCCUUUUCCAAAACACAUUGUCUUAGUUAACCCUUUGCAUAUCACCAACAAGUGUUUAAUUUUCAAACUCUUCAUCUCUAGUGGGCUAGGCCAUAAUCAAAAGUGUUGCGUCAAGACCAAAAAUCAUACUGCCCCGGUUUCAUUCCUAGGACCCACCUACUGUAACGACCCGACUUUCAUAUUCCGCCACCAAUAAAAUCGUUUUAGAUCCUGAUACAUUUUUUGUGCUACCAGGAUGCAUGGAAAAUGGGGAAUUAUGGGCUUCAUCUAGUAAGUCAAAUCUUAACUGCACUGUUCGCUGGCACACACAAACGUCUCUCAACAUCAAUCCACCAGUAGAGGAUAUGGAGAACUCAUCAGUCUGCCCUGUUCCAACGAGGCGACGUCUCUCCAUCAAAUAAGGAUCACUACUCUGAGCAUCAAUAAUCUUCUGCCUCAGAGUUGGUUGCACCGUUAAUUGAGCUAACUGUGAGGUGACUCUCCCCACAGAUACUGCAAUCUCAGCUCUCUCCAAGUCUCGAUGUAACGGUACCUGUCUAGUAAUGAGUGCUGCCGAAUGUGAUACUUUUCUACUAAGAGCAUCAGCCACCACAUUCGCCUUACCAGGAUGGUACAAUAUCUCGCAGUCAUAAUCCUGUAACAACUCGAGCCACCUUCGCUGUCUCAUAUUCAACUCCUUCUGAGUGAAGAAGUACUUCAGGCUCUUAUGGUCAGUAAAGAUUUGUAUCUUUUCAUCAUACAAAUAAUGUCUCCAUAUCUUCAGUGCAAAAACAAUUGCUGCCAACUCCAAAUCAUGUGUGGGGUAGUUCUGCUCGUGACUCUUCAACUGACGAGAGGCAUAAGCAACCACCUUACCUUGCUGCAUCAAAACACAACCCAGUCCUUUCUUGGAAGCAUCACUGUAAAUCACAAAACUUCCGGAUCCAUCUGGUACUGUAAGGACCGGUCCAGUAACUAACCUUUGC
rnacentral:lncRNA from 1 species